rnacentral:lncRNA from 1 species
CUAAUCUCAACUUUUAUCUCCACAAGUCUUAAGAUUGAUAUUCACACAAAAGAUAAGGCAUUGCGAGUCCUUUGUGAAACGAUACUCGGACUUACCGUUUAUUUAUUACUUGAUACGAUUCGGUACACUUGCCGAAGUGUUAACAAGUUUUUGGCGCUGUUGCCGGGGACUCGUGGUUAAACUUAUUGAGUAGUGUGAAUUGAUUGACUUUGACUUGUUUUCUUUUUGUUUUUAUUUUUUUUUUUUUGUUUUUGUUUUCUGUAAAAGUGCUUUUAGGGUUUUUCUCUUGUGCAUGCAGGAGAUUAUACAUACUAGAAGCAGAAAAGACUAGCAACUUCUCUUUGAAGGACUUCCAGACAGGAGAAGGAGAAGACCUAGACGUGAAAGACUUCCUUCUCCUGCAAGACGAUCUUUGGAGCAAACCUUUGCACGAAGUACAAAGGAGAUGGCAGAGCAACCUCCUCCUCCCAGACGUACACUUGGGGACUCUGCCAACAUUGUGGGUCAUUUGCAUUCGAACAGCAUAGUUGUGCCUACAGAUAAUGCAACAAACAUGGUGAUUAGCCCUGCACUGAUCCAGCUUGUACAGAGCAACCAAUUCCAUGGGUUAGCAAAUGAGAAUCCUUAUACUCAUUUGACUGCCUUUGGAGAGAUUUGCAACACCGUGAAGGCUAAUGGAGUUUCAGAAGAAAGGGUCAAACUUAGCCUGUUUCCGUUCUCACUUGGAGGACAUGCUAAAGAAUGGUUGCAUUCGUUUCUGGCAGGCACAUUCAGAGAUUGGGAGGCGGUGGCAAAACAGUUUGUCAUAAGAUUCUUCCCACAGACUAAAAUCAACCAAGGGCGCUUAGAGAUAUCCUCUUUCAAGCAGGGGAUGGAAGAAACACUUGAUCAAGCAUGGGAAAGAUUCAAGGGGCUUCUGAGAAAAACCCCAGUCCAUGGUUUAAACAAGAUGUCCUAUUUGCUUGCAUUCCUUGGUGGCUUGCGUACUCAGUCGAAGAUGAUGCUAGAUGCCUCAGCUGAAGGCAGUAUUAACAGAAAGACUGAGGAUGAAGCUUAUGAUUUGAUUGAAGAGAUGACACUGAAUGAAGUAACCCAAGGAGAAAGAGGCGCACAAAGAGGAGGAAUACUACAUCUUCCUGCUGAAGAAGCUGCAGCUGUGACACUCGGACAUUAACGAGGGCGGGGAGUGAUCGUCGGUGCAAGAAGAAUGGUGCAAGGGGCACGGACAAGGAGCAGAUCCUGACAGGCUUCGAGUGGAAGGGGCACAUGGACGAAUCGAACAUACACCGGAAUGAGAGGGAUCUGGAGAUUGUAUAGGUAUGAGACUAUACAGUUGAAGGAUAGCUUAAAGGAAUUGAUUUGACUACUCAUAUCAACAAAUGCAUUUGCUUUUCGGUAGCCUAACUCAUAAGAACUCCAUGGUUAAGCGUGCUUAGCCUAGAGUAAUUAUGGGAUGGGUGACCUUCCGGGAAGUUUUCUCGGAAAGUGUGUGAGUGAGGACAAAGCACACUGGAAAGCCUCGUGUUGAUGUGUGGGGGCAGUCAACAGUCCCUGUAAAGGUCACCUGUAAGUUGCUGAGGCGUUAUAGCAACUGCUCAAACUCAUAUUCUUUCACAGAAAUUGGACAAGCUAACAAAGGUCUUUGCUGAGUUUCCCAGGGGAGUACGAAAUAUUGCUCAAAAACUCAUCUUCUUUCAUAGAAAUUGGACAAGCUAACAAAGGUCCUUGCUGAGUUUCCCAGGGGAGUACGAAAUAUUGCUCAAGCCCAACAGUUGUGCGAACUAUGUGGUGGUGACCAUAUUAAUGGUCAAUGCGCCUAUCCAAUAGAGAUGGAGCAGGAGGUUAACUAUAUGGGCAAACGAUUUCAAUCAGUACCUUUGUGGCAACAAGUGAAUCAUUUGACAGAAACUGUUAGAAAUUUAACCAACCGAUUUGAUAGCUUCAUGAAAGUCUACGAGUCUGACAAAGCAAAUGAGCAAGCUAGUUUUAAAACAUUAGAGACUCAACUCAGUCAGUUAUCUAAAAGGGUGGAGAUCACUGAGAAAGUUCAGUCCCGAGCUGAUAUUGAAAUAAAACCCAAGGAUGAAUGUCAAGUGGUUCUAACAAGAGGAAAAAGGAAGUUAGAAAGAGAAGUAAUCAUUAUUGAUAGUAGUGAUGACGAAGAUGAUGAGUUGAUGAAUCACAAAGAGCAGACAGAUGUCAAAGAUGGGGUAAAGAAGGAGAAGAGUUACUAGGAGCAGUUUGAGGCGAAUUCAGGAAUACCAUUUGAUGAGCAUAUAAAAACUCCUAUUGCUUAUUCCGAUAGGAGUAAAUACUAUUUAGGAGUACCAUUUGAUUUCACAGAAGAAGAGGAGAUAAAUCUAAUUGAGCCAAGAAAGAAAGAUUAUCCUCAGAAAUUAAAAGAUUUGGGUAAUUUAACUCUCCCUUGGGUAAUUUUGUUAAUUAAGAAUUAAUUGUUAUGAGAAGAGGAACCUUUCACAUGAUGUGAUGAAUGGAAAGGUAGCAUAGAAAUAGGAUGUGUAGUUUGUCAGAAUGCUGCCAUUAAUGGAAUAUAAACAAUCACUUGUUGCAUUGCAUAUAUCUACGUACGCCAAACUUGGAAUUGUGCAUUUUAAAAUUUUGAUAUCCAUUUUACUUAUAAACGGAUGUUGACAUCCGUUUCAUCUUAAACGGAUGUUAACCAUUCGUUAACGGAUAUCUAUAUUCGUUUAAAGAUUUUUAUAUUGUAUACGAGAGUAAGUUUUAACCUUAAAAAUGAAAAGAUAAAUUAGGAAUAGAAAAUAUAGAAUGAGAUGCAGAAUAAGAAGGGGGAGGUGGAGGGAGAAAUUGGAGAGGUGUAGGGAACAACGCCCCUUCUCGAAAUAGGUAAGAAAAUAAUCCAUAAUUCAUACCGUGACAAAUGGCCCAGUCUAAUAUCAUUACCCAAUAGAAGCCGAUUACUGUAUUUAUAUAUAAAUAUUAAACACUCACACAAUGUAUAUAGAACAUUUUUAUAUUUCCUCUAAUAUUUCUAUUUUAACGUUUUCUUUCAACUGUUUUAUUAACUAAUUGAAAUCUUAAUUUUAAAUUUAUUGUUCCGAAUUCAAAGAUGCAGUUAGAAUUUGAAAUUCUGUGAAACAUAAAAAAGUUGAAUGACUCCGAUAUAACUUUUAAAAUAUAUAAUUUUACCCAAUAAAUUAAUUAUAUUCUGUAUGGCCAAAGGUGAUAUUAAUUAUGGUAUCAAAGUAGCAUGAGGUGGCUACUUAUACUUUUCAUAACAUAGCACACAAACGUAGUCACUCACAGUAAUUGCUGUACUUCAAUUUCACACAGCCCACAACUUCUAAGCACGGAAAUGGAGAUGAAGAGGAAGUGGGCUAGACAAUAAUGAAUUUGUACGUUAUACGGCGCCAAUUAAGAGGGUGCCAACUUCUUCGUCAUCCUCUCUUAUAAAACAGUAUGCAUUUGCACUUAUUUUUUCAUCCUUUAUUGACAGAUAAUCCCGUUUGAGUAUAUGUAUCAUAUAUAGUUUACCCUAGAAAGAUGGGUUCAAAGACAAAGAUAGCGUUACUUAUCCCAGGUCUGUUGGCCAUGUUCAUUUCGAUUUCCCCAAAGGUGGCAAUGGCAGCUAGGAAUUUUGAAGAGGGUGAGUUUUAUAUCAUUUUCUUUCCCUUCCCCUCCUAUCACUCUCUUCCCUCAAAAGUGUGUGUAUAUAUAUUUGCGAAAUUCAUUUUUCUGUUUAAUAUGGUUAGUUGACUUAAGUUAGUACUUGCAGAAAAAUCUGUUGAAGAGAGAAAUGAAGCGGGUGAUGGCAGAUUAGUAAAUGAUGUUAAAAUCCCAGACAUAGUUAAUAGAGGUUUUGGUGGCAUUACAGGCACUGGCAUCCCUGGCACUGUUGGGAUAAUCCCAGGCACUGUCGGUAGCAUCCCAGGAAUUGGUGGUAUAUUCCCAGAUAUUAUCGGUAUCAUCCCAGGUAUUAUCAGUGGCAUCUCGGGUAUCAUCCCAGGUAUUAAUGGUUUCCUCCCAGGUAGCGGCGGUGGCAUCCCAGGCAUCGGCAGCGGUGGCAUCCCAGGUUUCGGCAGUGGCAUCUCAGGCACCGGCGGCGGUGGCAUCCCGGGUACCAGUGGUGGCAUCGGAGGCAUCAGAGGUGGUAUCCCAGGCAUCGGUGGUGGCAUCUAUAGUGGUGGCUAUCCAGGUCAAAGAGGAUAUAGAGGAGGAUUUCGUUGCCCUUAUGGCUGUUGUGUUUGGACUGAUGGAUAUUGCACAAGUUGCUGCACGAUCUGAGGAUUUCACCCACAAAUAAGAUAAGACAGUGUAGUUCUAUUUUUUUUUUUUUUCUUUAAUCAGCCAAAUAAAUUUUAUAUAAUGUGCAGUUCUAAGUACUUCAUAUUCUAUGAUUAAAAUUUCUUGUUGUGUGCGAGAGGCAUGAUGGAGAACAAGGAGCCUUGUGUUUUCCUCUAACCUUUCUUAUCAUAUGGAUAUUUCACAAUUAAAAUCAUGUUUAAUAAUUUGUAGUAUUGUUAUAAGUUUUACCUCAGACUGAAAUAUUAUGUAGUUUGUGACUUUACUUCUGUUCAUCUAUAUAUGCUAUUAUAAGUUUGUCUUUUUUUUUACAAAUCUUUAAAAUAUAAAUUUAGAUAAAAAUUAAUUUAUAAGUAUAAUUUAAAUUAAAUUAAUUAAUAAAAUAUCAAAAAUAAAUUUAAUCUUGUUAUAAAGUAAAUUAAAAUGAAUUUUAAUAAAAUAUAAAUUUUAAUAAAUAAUCUCAAUUUCAUGUUUGACUAAAAAAUAGAAAUAUAUAAAAUCAACUUUUUAACAAUUAUUCAUUAAUUAAUAUUUCUUUUAUUAAUAAUUUUAUUUUAAUUAAUUAAAUUUAAAAAAAUAUGUAAAUAAAAUUUAUUAAUAAUUAUUAGUAGAAAGUAAAUAUUCUAGGAUGGGUCAAUAUUAUUAUGAUACCUUUAUCCAUCCAAUUAAGAAAGGGAUAAUGAAGUAUAUGUUAUAGUUGAUAGCCAUGUAUCAAACAUCAAACAAUGAAUGCUACAUCCCAAAAAUAAGAAGAACCGUUGAGUAUGGUAUCAAGAAAUGCUAACUUUUUUGGAGAAACCUAACUUAUUUCAUAGGCUGAAUUGGCAAGUUCGAAAUUCAUUGCAACUAAACAGAAAAAUAAGAAAACAACCUUUCAAGUACUGCAAAUUUGAAAGGAUAACAAAAUACUCAUAAAUUAGGUCGGAAUAAGUGGACAGAGAGUGAGAAAGUUAUGGGUAUUUAGAUAUAAUCGAGCAUGAAAAUCGAGACCAUAAGUGACACGAUAAAUUUAAAUUAUUAUAAACAAAAUAUAAUCGGAAAGUAUAGCAAAAGUGCUUGUAUAUAAAUGCAAAAAUAAAUCUUUCAAGAUUAACUUACUAAUAAAAAUUAAAUAGAAAGUGAAAGAAAGAAAUUAUAAGUUCAACUCUUCCAUUAAUAUUAUAAUAUUAAUUGAUAUUCGUUGAUAAAAAAAAUCUAUAUUAAUGAAUUAUUUUAAGUAAUAAAAAUCUUGAUGAUAAAAAUCAAUUUAAAAUCUAAUUCAUAAUUAAUUAUAAUUUAUUAAUAAUAAUCAUUAUUCAAAUAUUUCCUUAUAAUAUCAUUUUAUCAAUAAGGGACCACUACAAUAAAAAAACUAAAUUACAUACCGACAAAAGCCGUAUAUAAAACCAAAAAUUCGUAUAUAACACUUAAUUACAUAUGGAUAAAAAUCUGUAUAUAAAAUUGUUGUAGCAAAAUUAUAUAUGGAUGUAUCCCUAUAUAAUUUAUAUACGGAUUUUUUCGUAUGUAACUACAUACGAAAAAAUCCGUAUGUAAAAUCCAUAUGUAAUUAUAUAUAAAAAAUUUUGUAUAUAAUUAUAUAUGAAAAAAUUCGUAUGUAACUUUAUGAUUUUAUAAAAAAAAAAGACGAUUUCACAUCUAUACCUAAUAAUUAACAGUUUCAUAUAAAAGUCAAAUAAAAUUGACAAAUUAUAAAAAAUAAUAUCAAAUAUUUGUCGAUUUUUAUUAAAAUGUAACAAUUAGUUACAUGUACAAUUCAUAAUAGUAAAUUAAACUACUUAUAGUUACAGGUGAAAAGUUAUCUAAGAAUUGUUUUACCAGUUUUACCAGUAUUUGAAGCACCAUAAUUAACCGCGGAUAUGGUCAGACAACCGCGGCCUAUUCCCCUGUCAAUUUAUUGCAGGGGCUGACUGAUGGGGAAUGUCAGGAGGUUACAGGGGGAGUAGGCCGCGGUUGGUCAGAGAACCGCGACCUAUUCCCCUGUUAUUAAAUUUUUUUUUCUGACGUGGCGACAAAGGGGUUGGUUGACUGGGGUAUAUGCCGCGGUUAAGUGGGGAACCGCGGCAUAUAAGUUCGAUUUAUUUACAAAACUGCCACCGCGCAGCAUUAUGCUGCGGUUUCGGGUGAACCGUGGCAUAAUGUGCGCUGUAUAAUGCUUUUUAUUACUAGUGUAUGGAGACGAGAGAGAAACAAAUUGGAUAAGUGAGGAAGGUGAAUUAGGGUUAGGCAAGAGUUUCUGAUUUUUUUUUUUUCAAUUGAGGCAACAGUAGGAUGACAGAAAAAAUGUUGGAGUGAGAGAGAUGAAAGAGAGAGGGUUGAGAGGAAUGAGGGAAGUGAGUAAGGGUUUGGGGGUUUCUUUUUUUUUUUAGUUUUGAGAAUGAAAAUUAUUUAAAUAUCCUUGACCUUAAAACUUAGAAUCCAUGAUAAAUGAGGGUAUUUUUGUCUACUAUAAUCCGGUAAGUAUUGUUAAAACGUACCAACUAAAAAACAGACGUAUGCGUGUUAACAAACCCCAUAUAUAUAUAUAUAUAUAUAUAUAUAUAUAUAUAUAUAUAUAUAUAUAUAUAUAUAUAUAUAUAUAUAUAUAUAUAAUUGAAAAUAUAUACAUAAUAAUAUAAUAUAAGUCAGAUAUAUAAUUAUACACAACAUAUACAUAAGAUUUAUUUUAAUAAUAAAUUAAUUCAAUAUAAAAAUUAAUAAUAAAUUAGCGUUAAGUUAAUCUUACCAUAACAUCCGUUUCUAAAAGUCAGUGAUAACUAGGCUUCCAUAAUUUUCCUGUCCCUUGUUUAUUACGUAAGACCCACCAUAAUUUUAAGGAAAAUGAUACUUUGACAACCUCGGUGACAAAUUUUUGACACCAAUAACGUGUCAGCUUCUCAUUGGUUCACCCUUAAAAAAAUAAAAAAAAUUAAAUGACGUGGAAAAUGAAGGACAGUAGCAGAAAUUGGAAGGAAACAUUUUUGCGAAAUUCAAAUUCAUUUUCAAACUCCGAGAACUAAACCUAGAGAGAGAAACUCUCCCUCCCAACGACCAAAGCCCCUUCACGACUUCACCGUCGUUCGCCGUUCAAUGGCCACCGGAGGUCCACCCAGAGGCGGCGCCGCCGAUCAUCUUUGCGUCUCUUCCUCCCAGCGAGAAAAGCUUCGAUCCAUUUCCACCGCCAGUCGCCCUUCAACGGCCACCACCAGUCGCUGUUCAACGGCCACCGUCAGUCGACAGAAGCUUCCACCAUGACGCUCCGAAAACGCUGAUUACUCGCGUCUCUUCUCACUCGUCGCGUCUCUUCCCACUCGUCGCAUCUCUUCGCACCGCCCUUCCUGUUGUCUCCUUCCGCCGGCAUAUCGUGAGUAUCUUAAUGUAUACUAAAUAUUCUCUUUUGACCAUGUUGGUGCGUGCUGCUAGAGAAAGUUAUAUGAGUUAAACUCUCUAUUUUGUGAUAUUGGGCCUAUUGCGUUUUAAAUCUUUGACUAACAUAUAUGAUGAAGUGAAGUGAACAUUUUCCCCUUGCUUACUGUGAGUACCUGUUUGAUUUGUUUCUUUAUGGUGUUUUCGGAUUUUAAUUUUGAAUGUAAUUACCAACUUCAUUGUAAAGUUGUGGAGAUGUGUGAAGCUAAAAAUUGAGCUUAUGUAGUUAGACUAUGUCAUACUCUCAGAAGUUGGUAGAGCAUUAAACAAGUAGUGUUGGGCAUAUACUAAGUAAUUAGUAGUAACAAUUUCAGUGAACCUAGAAUUUAUCCUUUUUUUCUGCUGAAUUGUUAUUAUUUGAAACAAAAGUGCCAACAACUAGAACAGAGGCUUUUAUGCUCUUUUAUGCUCUCUCUUUGUUUCAAUGUAAGGAGAAAUUUUAUCUUAAGUCUGGUACUGCCGCAGUUGAUUUUAUCUUGUUGUCUUUGAAAUUUUUUUGCUUACUCCAAUUCAUAGCUGAUAACUUUAUCAAUUUUAUAUGUUGCUCCUCUGUUCUUCCAAUUUUUUUUUUUACAAUAGGUGUUGCUUAACUGUAGUAUGUAAAUAGAAAAUCUGAAAUCCAAUGUCUGUUUCUUAUAAUGUAAAGGAGAAGGACACUGGUUAUAGGAGUAAAUUCAUACUUGUUUUUAAAUUGCACAAACAAAUGUUACUUAUAUAAACAUAUUUUCUUAAAAAAAUAUAUAUAAUAUAAAGAACGUAUAAAACUUUCCUUCCUUAGUGUGUAAAAUAUUAUUUUACAUUUCGUAUAUAAUCACAAAUUGAAUGGUGCAUCUUUUUGUUUGUAUUUAGGAUUCGAAUGUCCUUUUCUGAUUAAGAUAUUUUGGAGAAAAAUAUCUUAUUAUAUAUGUCCUGUUGAAGGUAAUUUUUUCAAAUUAAUUUUAUAUAUUCUAUAAAUAUUACUAAAUCUUCUAAGGAAUGAAAUUGAAGAAAACCUUUUUCAUCAUUCACUUUUUCACAUAUAUUAUUGCACAAAUUAUUAAAUCCUGUCAAUUACUCUUAAAUUAGGUAUAAUUACCAUCAUAUAGCAAUUUUAUUUUCACUUAAAUUACGACAAAAAUAUGCCACAAUAUUCAGUUUGAAUUCAUAAUGUAUUUGUAUCAGAGAUCUGGAAAAAAAAAUUAUGCAUGUUUAAAUAACAUAAUUAUAGUUUCAUAAAAAACCUAUAGAGUAUAAUAAUUACAAAGAAAGUUAUUUUGAAAUAGGUAGUCAUGUGAUGGAGUGAGAGUUGAUAUUUGGCAGCAUGUUAUGGUAGGAAGGGAGUGAGUUGGAGAUUGAAGAGCCAUUGAAAUUGGAUAAGCUAUGAAGUGUAAGAUAAUAUAAGGUAGAGAUUUCAUGAAACAAAUGCUGCAUCCUCCAAAAAUAUCAUACCAAAACAACGAGGGAAUCAAAGUGGGUUGUUGCAUCCUCUCGCUUUUACAUCUCCUCAAAGUAUUGAUUAGGUUCAAUGAGAACUAAAAUACAAUAGAUGGACUGAACAACCAUAUGCUAGGUUGAGUUAUUGAACUUAAUUUUUAAGUGGUACAUUGAAAUCUUUGUCAGAGCAUCGUCUUCUUUUAAUCAAAGCUGGUAGACUGAUUAUAUGGUUAAUAGUUUGUGUUAAUCAAGGUUAUGGUUAAAUCUGCUUUGUAACAGAGCAGAAGUUGACUGGGAUGCUUCCCAGCUCCUCCUACAAUUAAAGGCCAAGGAACGAACAAAGACAUAUAAGAAGAUUUUUGGAGCAGUAGUGCUUUGGAAAUAAAUCUGAGGGCAUUUGAGUCCCAGAAAAGCAUCUCAUCAAUUAUCAUACCUUCUGAUCCUCAAAGUAGCUCUGGCAUUCAUAUUGAUUCUCCUGAAUAUGUAAAUGAUGGCAAGUAUUUUGUUAUAUUCAACUUAUCUAUAACCUUUAUUGCCUUAUUGGUUAGUCUCAUUAUCUAAUGGUGCUUUUCAUCUUUUAUGACCUUGGUAGUAGCCAUUUAUCUGAUGCAAAGACAAUCUUGGCAGAAGUGUUUAGAGAGUCGCGCCAGACUUAUUUGCUAAUUGUCACAUGCCUUAGUAUUUACAUGGAAUUUUCAUUUUCAAAACCCUCACCCUGUAGGGACAGUUACAAUUCCAAUGUCUUGAAAUAGCUUGAAUUCCACACUUUUAUUCUGGUUCUGCCAUGCAACUUUGACUUUAAGAUUUUGUUUUACUUUUUAUUCUCUUGUUUCUCUCUCUCAGGCAGUGAUUGUCUACUCCUUUAAUUUUGUACCUUUUCUUGUAAAUUUUGUUUUCUUUUAUGUUGAUUUAAUCUCUUUAGUUACAUGUAAUGGCUAUGGGACUUUAAGUUCAAAUCUAGUUUUCUCGAUUUCCCUUUAUCCACGUCGUUUCUGAUUUUAUUUUUAUUUUACAGGAUUUCUUUCAAUCUUGCAUUUUUUUACACUUUCUUACAUAUCUCGAGCUGAUUAUUAUUACAUUAUAUGCAGGUCUUAUUCUCUGGAACCAAAUGAGGCGACACUUGGGUUAGAAAUAAAAGGCCUCAGAAUAAGAAAGAAGUUAGAGAACCACAAAAUAAGGUAAAUAAAUAUACAAACAGUUUUUUAAUUAAGCAUGAUUUCUAACUUUGAUCCCUUGAUUUUGAUGGGCAACUCCUAUUUCCUUAAAUAUUGUUUUGACCAAGAAAUUAGACUGUCCGAAAUUUAACAAGCAUUUGCCACAGCUGAGAAAAGAGCAUUGUUAGAUAUAUAAGCUUUCAUCUUUAUGAUGUUGUUGUCUUGUGUUGUUGUUAGCAUUAUAUGAUGCAUGUAAGAUACAUAAGUUUAAACUUGUGUGGUUGAAAAUUUUCGGCAUUAUGUCCUUAAUAUGUUUGUUCACCUUUUUUGGUGUAGUGUAAUGGAGGAAGUUGGUCAAAAGACUGAAUGUGGGAUUGUAUUACAUUUGUAUAGAUUUGUUGUUGUUAUGUAUUUAUACUAAAAGAAGCUCUUGAAAAAUAUCAUGUGUCAUUGAACCAGCAAAAUAAAGUAGAUAAGGACAAAUUAACUCGCAUUGUACAAGAACAAACGCGGCUUAUUGGGAACAUGAAAAAUAGUGUUGCUAAUUUAAGAGAGUUGGUGGAAGACAAAAAUGAUGAUAAAGGUCAACACUUUGAUGAUAGGCCUUUCAGUGCAACUGAAUAUCCAUUUGGAAGCACACCGAUUCAACAUAAACAACAAACCCCAGGGUGUGAAGGUCAGGAUGAACUCAAGCAAAGCACAAUGUAUGAUCGAGUGAAGGCUGCACCCCGAAGAAGGAUCAAGAGUAAGGCAAAAAGAACUUCAUUUACAUCAGAGGGUAGAAGAAAAAAAUCAGUAGUUGAAUUAGUUGUACUGAUAUUGUUAUGUUAACAACCUUAAUUCGAUGUAGCAGUACAAUAUGAAAUGUGUAUAUUACGUAUGAUGUUGAUGUACAAACAUUUAUUUUUUGGCAUUAAUUACAAGUUAAUUGGAUUGUAUGAAAGUGGUUUAAUUACAUUGAUUUCUAGUUUAUGUUUAUUCUUCUAUUUGUAUUCCAAGCCUGUUUUGUAAAACCGAUUCUGUAGUAACAGAUCUGGAAGCAAAGUGCAAAUAAGUGGGUAGUUCAGGCAAACUUUCAGCACAGGGGUGUCAACUUUGAAACUUGCAUUCUUAUUUAAUUGAACAAACUUUUCUUAACACCUAUUGGAAUUAUUGGAUACAAAAGUACAUGGCCAUUGAUGAUCACGAGUAUAUGGAUGGAUGUACAUGGCGAAGGGAGAACUAUUGUUAGCACUCAAUGUGUAGUAAUAGACGACAAAUAAGUGGGUAAUUUAGGCUAACUUUUAGCACGAGGAUGACAUCUUUGAAUCUUCCACUUCUUUUUAACUCUACAGUUUAUUGUUAACCAAUUAUAUUGAAUAAAAAUCAUUAAUUAUCAUUUAAGAACAAAUUUAUAUUCAAGUUCAUCCCCAAGGAAACGCUUUUCUUUAAAGUAAUGGUGCAAAAAGGAAAAUGGUAGUCAUUGGCUAAUAAGUGGGUAGCUUAGGCUAACGUUUAGCACGAGGAGGACAUCUUUAAAUAUGCUACUUCUUUUUAACUCCACAGUUUAUUGUUAACCAAUUAUAUUGAAUAAAAAUCAUUAAUUAUCAUUUAAGAACAAAUUUAUAUCCAAGUCUAUCCCCAAGGAAACGCUUUUCUUUAAACUAAUGGUGCAGAAAGGAAAGUGGUAGCCAUGGGCAAAUAAGUGGGUAGUUUAAGCUAACUUUUAGCACGAGGAGGGCAUAUUUGAACCUUCCACUUCUUUUGAACUCCACAGUUUAUUGAUAACCAAUUAUUUUGAAUAAAAUUCAACAAUUAUCAUUUAAGAGCACAUUUAUAUCCAAGUUCAUCCCCAAGGAAACGUUUUACUUUAAACUAAUGGUGUAGAAACGAAAGUGGGAGCAAUGUUCAAAUAAGUGGGUAGUUUAGGCUACCUAUUAGCACGAGGAGGGCUUCUUUGAACCUGCCACUUCUUUUGAUUGUUAACCAAUUAUAUUGAAUAAAAUUCAUUAGUUAUCAUUCAAGAAGACAUUUAUAUCCAAGUCCAUCCCCAAGGAAACGUUUUACUUUAAAGUGAUGGUGCAGAAACAAAAGUGGUAGCAAUGUUCAAAUAAGUGGAUAAUUUAGGCUAACUUUUUGCACGAAGAGGACGUCUUUAAUAUGGCACUUCAUUUGAAUUGCAUAUAUUUAGUGAAAAAUUAAUACUCUGUAAAUAGCACCUUAAACACACAUUAGGAAAUACAAAUGUUCGACAUUGCACAACAAAGAUCAUAGACAAAUAAUGCUCAUUGUUGUAUUGAACUGUGUCAAAAUGAUUACCAAUUCUAACACAAUCAUCAUUCUUAUGUUCAAAUUACAUUAGUAAUAAAUGUUAACAAAACAUUUGUUUUCAUCAAUUCUAAUACAUCAACCGUAAAUAUUGGCUUUUCAUUAAAUCAUCAUUCUAAUACAUCAAUUCUAAUACAUCAACCGUAAAUAUGUUCAAAUUACAUUUUUUGCUUCAUAUUAAAGCAUUCGUUGCGCCCAAUCCAUCAAAUGACCAUCUCCUUCAACAAUGGAGUGCAUAAGUCUAUUGGCUUGUCCAUAUUAACACACCACUUGAAUGGAGUUUGUCGAAUCCGAAUCCGAUCAAUUUCUCUUAGUUUAGAAUUAAUUUCCACAAUGACUUUGGUAUCACACCAUGCCCGCAAUCGAACCUGCAUAUUAUUUCCAACAAAUACAAUCAUUAACCUACACUAUUGAAACCAUCAAUUACAUUUCGAAUACAUCAAAUUUACUUACAUUGGUACCACCUUUUUCUUUAUUCAAAUCCAUCACUGUAAAAUGUAAGCACCUAAAAUGAUCAUACCAAAAUCAAUGAUUGAUACUGAAAAAAGGCAUAAUGUAUAUACAUGUUCUGAUUUCUUCAAGCCAAAACAAGAGUUUAUUCAAGACUAGAAAAGAGAAUUUGCAGGAGUUUUACUAUUAGAUGCCUAGGCUUUUACUGCAAUGUAAACCACAUUUACAUAUAUAAACAGUGCUUCCUGAUUCAAAUUGCACAUAAAUACAAACACCAAUCCAAAUCUUAACGCUAAACCAGUAAGGUAUUACAGAAAGCACCAAUUUGAAAUGUUUAAUUGGCACUUAAGAGGCCAAAAACUAAUAUAAGCAAGCAAUAAGGGUACUGAAUCAAGUACGAACUCAAAUGAAUACUAGGGAAAGUGCUAUAUUAGAUUUAGAAAGCAAGAAAAGGUUGCAACAAUAAAAUGCAAAAACUAGUGUUUUAAAUCAAUUUUCACGUGCAAAUUGGACUUUUAUAUUAACUUCUUUUUUUUAAGUUUGGACAUAUUCUACUUUACACACGGUGAAAGAAAGAUAAAAUAGAAAAAAUGUAGGUAAUAACAAGAGAUAUAGAAAAAAAAUAUAUUCAAUGAUGAAUUGUUUAAAAUAAGUUACCAUGCAUAUAAAUCUUUCUUAUCUGGUAAGUACUUAUCUAUUUGUCCCAAGUAAAAAAUCUUUCUUAUCUGGUAAGUAGUUAUCUAUUUGUCCCAAGUAAAAAUAGGGAUAACAUAUUGGUAUGUUAUUCUAAUCACUUUUAAGUACAUAGAAAAUUACACCAAACAUAAUUAUUUAAGGUUACUUCAAAAUUUUAAAAAAGUUGGAAGUAAAGAUAUAUGAACACCUUUGUGCAUUACACAUUCUAUUAUUAAUACCUAUUAUUUUCUCAAAUAUAUAUCUCCCCUUUGUGGAUCUGAAUAUAAAGAAAAAAUAAAUUUAAUUUAAUGACUAUAAAUGUUUAGGAGAAAAAAAAACAUAUAACCCUCUAAACUUUACUCCUUUUACGACUUUAGGGGAAUUAAAUGUUUUUUCCUUUUUUCAGUAAAAUAGCUAAUAAAAACUUCCAAAAACUCUUCUUUACUCCUUUUAAGUCUGGACAUAUUUGCAUCAUGAUAACCAUUCGAGAUUUCAAUUUCUUAUAACAAUUCUGCACUCAAUUAUCUUUUAUACUCUGAUUCUUACUUCAUUCACCUUUUCUUUUUCUUUAUUCUUCUUUAUUGGACCUAACCAUGUUCCUUUUUUUAUGUCUUUUGAAAAGUCAAAGCACUCAAUAUUUUAGUUUAACCAAUUUCAACUAAUGCUAGAUUCUCUGUGCCAUAACAACCAUAAAUUCACCAUCUUUCAAAACAAGGGAUUAAAAAAGUCCUACAACUCUAUUCUUUUUUAUCUGUGUCGAGUAACCUUUUGAAGUUUUACAAGUAUAUUCUUUAACAUCAUAACUUUUCAAAUUCACUUUUGAUGAAAAAUUCACAUUCUAAAACUUCAAAUGAUUCAAAAACAAGUAUUAGUUCCUUCAAAUAGAUUCACAUCCAGCAAAAAAAAAAAAAAAAAGAAGAAGUCCUAAGUCAGAAUAAAAUGAAGUAAACAAUAUUCAGAAUAAAGUUAAUAUAUCUCUGUCAAGUUCUGCAUGAUUAAUGAUAUCCAUUUUGGAUAUGUGUGAAAGGGUGUUUCUUUUUUCAUAGUACAAUACCUAUAAUCUUUUUCUCAUAUUUUCUCACUCUCAGUAAGUAAACAAUACAUUCAAUAUCCGAGAAAUAUAAAAUGUUCUUGACAAUUUCUUUUUCAUUUAAAAGGUAGCAUAAAUGUGUAAAAAUGUGGAAAGAAGAUUGACUUGAACUAUUAUAGUGUUGCCUAAUUCAAAUUGCACACAAAUAUGAGCUCAAAAAGGGUGGUUUGAUUGUAAAAUGCACACAAGCAGUCCUAGCACAAUGUAAACUGUCACAAAGACUUUGUUUGACUAAAAUGAACUUGUUUAGAAAGUAAGAAAAGGUUGCAAAGGUAACAACAAUAAAAUGCAUAAAACUAGUGUUUUAAAUCAAUUCUCACGUGCAAAUUGGCCUUAUAUAUUAGCUAUUUUUUUUUUAUUUUUAAUUUUGGACAUAUUUUCAUCAUAACCAUUUCAGCAAGUUUAGUUAUGCUUGUUAUAAUCAUUCAAAGUCAAUUUUCUAAAUGCAAUAGGCUUUUGCUAAAAAUCACUAGUUUAAUGGUUUGUUUCUGCUUUGCCUUUUUCUGAAUUAGCAACUCAUAUAUCUCAAUUUUGGUUUUAACCAAAACAAAGUAUAACAAGCAUUUAAACCAUUUAGUUUUGCAAUUUAGAAAGUGAGGAAAAGGUUAAAUUGGCAACUCAUAUAUCUCUAAGCAUGAUUAAACAGUACAGUAAUCAUCUAAUACUGAAAUGUUAAAUUGGCACUUAAGAAGCCAAAAACUAAUAUAAGCAAGCAACAAGGGUUCUGAAUCACGUAGGGACUCAAAUGGAUACUAGGCAAAGUGUUAGAUCAGAUUUAGAAAGCAAGAAAAGGUUGCAAAGGUAACAGCAAUAAAAUGCAGAAAACUGGUGUUUAUAGGCCGAGUUACUAAUCAUCUAAACAGUCCAAAACAUAAUUUAAACUCCAAACAAAUGCAUAAUUUUUAAAGACCAAGUGUGAGGACACACAACGAGUUUGGAAGCGGCGUUUUCGAGGCUGACCUCUUUCGAAUCGACGGUAGAGACUUUGGGUGGUCCUCCGGUGGCCGUUGAACGGCGACUGACGGUAGAAAUGGGACGACUAUGAAGAGACGCGAGUAAUCGGCAUUUUCGGGGCGUCACGGUGGAAGCUUAUGUCGACUGACGGUGGCCGUUGAGCGACGACUGAUGGUGGCCGUUGAAGGGCGACUAGCGGUGGAAAUGGGUCGGAGCUUUUCUCGCUGGGAGGGAGAGACGCGAAGAUGAUUGGCGGCGCCGCCUCUGAGUGGACCUCCGGUGGCCAUUGAACGGCGAACGAUGGUGGAGUCUGAAGGGGCUUUGGUCGUUUGGAGGGAGAGUUUCUCUCUCUAGGUUUAGUUCUCGCAGUUUGAAAAUGAAUUUGAAUUUCGAAAAUGUUUCCUUCCAAUUUCUGUUACUGUCCUUCAUUUUCCACCUCAUUCAAAUUUUUUUUAUUUUUUUAAGGGUGAACCAAUGAGAAGCUGACACGUUAUUGGUGUCAAAAAUUUGUCACCCAGAGGUUGUCAAAGUAUCAUUUUCCUAAUUUUAAAUUAUUGUCAGAUUUUUUAUCAACUUUAAUCUAUUAUUUACUUGUAUGGAUUUUGCAAAGCAUAUAGGCAAUAAAUCUAAUUUUUUUAUCAAUAAAAUAAAUAUAUUAAAUAAUUUUUUUUUAAUCCAUAUACAAAAUAAUAUAUAUAUAUAUAUAUAUAUAUAUAUAUAUAUAUAUAUAUAUAUAUAUAUAUAUAUAUAUAUAUAGAUAUACACUACAAAAAAAGUUACAUUGGAGAUUAUAUUGUGAAGGUUAAUAAAACCCUUCUUAGAUAACAUUAUUUACAAUUAUUUCUGAUAAAUUAUCUUAAAGCCAACAAUAGCAGAGGUUUUAAUUUCUUUUUAAAGAGGAAGAUUACCUUAACAUAUUAUAAUAUCCUUUUCACCGUUUCCCUCACUUUUUUUUUAAGCAUUCCCUCCCAAAAUUUUUCUUUUUUUUUCUCCAAAUCUUUAAGUUCUUCUUUUCUAGAAUUAGAACACAAUAAACCCAAAAGACGAAACCCUUCAUGCCUCAGCUUCCUCCUUGACCCUUCACUGUCUCAGUUUCAUCUUCACCCUUCAAUGCCUCAGUUUCUUCUUCAUCCUUCACUACCCUCAAACGCCGACGCCGAUGAGGAUUCUGGUGAGGCUCAUCUAAUGGUAGGGCGAGUAAUUAACGCUCCAUCACCACCACCGUGCGCGUCCUCGGAAUAACUUUCUCCUUGCCCCUUUCUAUCUCGCACUCAACGCAACACCUAAACCCUAAGCUACCAUUUCCGGCAAUCCCACCGUUGUCAGCAUCGUCGGUCCACCACUGCGUGUUCCUCCACUGCCAAAUCCUCAUGAAGCAAUAUACAAGAAGGUACACAUUUCAGUAUAUGAUUCCUUUUCUUCAGUAAGCAUUGCGGUAUGCUUGUUUUCAUCUAUGUAGUUUUUGUAAUAUUUGCCAAUAGGUCACUGAAACUAAUAUCAAGGAGUUUGAAGCAAACAAUAGGGGAUCUGACUCUGAGAAACGAAGCUUUCGAUGAGGUGAGGUGAUGCUUAUAAUGUUUAUUGUUUUCUAUAGUGCUUGUAAUGUUUAUUGGGUGCAGAGCAUGGCCAGAGGCGGUCCUGUUAGGCAUUUUGGAUGGAUCGGUGAUUGGAACUAAUUUGGAGUUGCAAGAGGGUAACUUGAUUGUGCAGAAAUGGAGGUUCAAAAGCUGGAACGAUGGAGUUCAAUCCACAGUAAGUAUUUUUCUUUUUAUGUUAACUAUUAGGAAAAAAAACCAAAUAACUAAAUUUCACACAACUUACAGUAUGAUAAUAGGUGUGUGUUAACUUAUGGAUAGUGAGUUGUGGUCAAUUGUAUUUCAUUUGUUCUUCAUAGUCUACCUUGUUGUGUUUCUUUCUUUCUGCCUAUGUAACUUCUGGAAUUUGUCUGGUCUGCUUAAAUGUAAUGUUGGUGAUUAUUAUCUAGAUUGCAUUUUGUAUCUUAAUCAAAUACUUAUUCUGCUGAGUAAUUUCUAUAGCAGUUCGUCUAAGGCUAUGGCCUAUGGCAUGAUUACAUGCAGUAUUUUUGUCAUCCCUACUUAUUAUAUUAAUAUUUUUGUUGUACGUAGAUACUAGAUCAACCUUAAGAAAUAUAUAUUGAAUUGAUACUUAACAGUUCAUAAACGCAUAUCACCGUCACCCAUUCACUCAGCUCAACGACACUGAAACAAAAGAAAAUAAUAGAAUGUAAAAGGAAGAGAAAGACUACAUAUUAAGGGUUUUUUUUGGAGGAAUCAUAAAUCAGAGAAAUUGGAGGAAAGGAUUCGUUAUUAACUCUCUUUUCUUUCUGUUUUUUAUUUUUUAUUUUUAUAUAAAUUGUAAAGAUAUCAUAUACAUGUGUUUUUCAUCUUCUUAAUUUCUCUGAUGGUUUGUUCUUAUUAUCAAUGACCCGCACCCGUGUGGAAAUGAAUUUAAAAUUUUUUAAAUCAUAGUUGAAUGUUGUCAAUAUUGUGGGACGCUUGGUAUUUUAGUUGGGUUUGUGAGUUUAACAUCAUGGUAGCUGUAUACCAAGUGUUUGAUGAAACGCCAACUUUGGGUGACUGCCUGCGUUGUGAACAUGUUAACUAGCGUGUGUCAGAAAUGAGAGGUACUUAUCUGUUAUGAGUUUGUUACUCUGUUGAGUUGUAGUAGUUUGUUUAAGUAAUUUGGUGUAAGCAUUCCAAUGUUAGAAGAAUUAUUCCAAUGUUGUUUGUGGAUGCGGGAAAAAUUAAAAUGAAAUUAAAACAGUAAAAACGAAAAUUCACGCUGGAACUAGGCAGCUCUGACCUUUGCUCAAUGUUUUAACCAUAACUUUUUCUACAGAGCUCUAAAUGACAUGAAGUUUUUUUUCCUGGAAAGUAGACUCAAUUAUCUUUAAUUUGAUAUAUAAAACGUAGCAUUUGGAGCUCUGGUCUGGUUGCAGUUAUUUUUUUAAAAUCGAGUCCAGAAAGUGAAAAUGCUAAACCCAACACUAGACUAAACAAGUAGCUAAACACAGUUAAAUUAAAUUAAAUACAAAACUAAAUUANNNNNNNNNNNNNNNNNNNNNNNNNNNNNNNNNNNNNNNNNNNNNNNNNNNNNNNNNNNNNNNNNNNNNNNNNNNNNNNNNNNNNNNNNNNNNNNNNNNNNNNNNNNNNNNNNNNNNNNCAAUUUAUAUGACACAUGCACCUACUAAAGAAAUUAAAAUAUUUCUCCAAAAAUCAAAUAACCUAGUUGCUAAUUCCAAAUGAGAACCACCGUUNCUGCAGGUUGCUCCAUAGCAAAAGUAAAAUAAAAGAAAGAAAAUGAAUGCUACCACCGUCCCAUCNCAAUUUGCAAAAGAAAUAUAAUUUUCCGCUGCAUGCGCCGUUCCAGCAAUGAAUCACGUUUCUAAGGAAUUGAAAUAAACCAAAUGCACCAGCUGAAUGAAUCAAGNGCGCUUUCUUUAAAUUGAAAGUAAAUUGAUUAAAAGAAAAGUAAAAAAAAGAAAACUUGUGGAAUCCAAAACGCAACAGCAAGCUUCUAUCUUAAUAAAACAAAAAUAAUGUUUGAUGCAGCAAAUGGCGGCUACAACCUUCUUCAAACUAAUAUUUAGACAAAACUAAAAAACUAUGAGGGUACGGCUGCAGCUAGCUUAAAAGAAAUACACAAUUAGUGUUUGCAAGAAAAAUAAAGUGUGUGCUCUUCAUUCUUCAAAAUAUUUACCCCGUAGCCAUAGCAAUGCUCCAAGGAAGCUCCAUAAGAAAACCUUCAAAGCCCCUUCCCAAUAAUCUCCAGCCGAGAGAAUAUAUCCUAGGUAAAAAAUGACGGCUGUCCAAAUCCUAGGACCUUGAGGUGUGUGCUGAAAAAUUAGGGUGGGGUCCACCCAACCCUAGGUAGGACAUGUGUCACCAAAAUUUGGGCUCCAACAUAUUUUUAAUGGCCCAAUGUGCAAAGGUUUGUCNAAAAAGUUUAAACAAUUNAAAUUACAAUACAACUAAAAUUUAAAAUGUAUAAUUGAGAGUCUUGAAUUUAUUUGGUGUCUCCAAAUGUCCCAAAUUGUGUUUCCAAAAUUUUCCCUGAAAAUAAUAAUGCAAAUAAUUAGCUCAGAAAAUUCAAAUUAAUUAAAAUUAGAAUUUUCGGUCAAAUUAAGCAUAAUUAGGAAAAACGGAAAAAUACCGGACAAUUAAGCACAAUUCCCUGAUUAAUUCUAGCACAAUAAACUAAGUGAAGUCGAGAAAAUAUCGACUCAUCAGUAUCCAUGAAUAAUAUAUGAAAGUUUAUUUUGUCUUUGGCCUCCCUCUAUAGCCUUUUCAUGGUAGAUUGUUAGAAGUAGCGGUACCUUGGUUCUUUGCAUCCUAACAGUUUUUAUUGGUGUUCUCCUUUUUGUGUUGAAGAAUAAAAGAUUAUCUAUCUUCAUUUUUCUUUGAAUACAAGAUUAUCUUUGCAUGAUAUCCUUCGCAUGUUUAUGUCCUAGUUCUUCAUUUCACCCCAGCAACUCAUACAUUACUCGACAUUUAAUUUAGUCCGUGGAUGUUUAGAAUCACUGCCCUUGUCUCUGCCUCAUUAUAGUUGGCCUUGCAUUUAGAUGAGGACUCAAGCAUUUGAAAGCCAACAUAGCAACUUUCAUGGCUCCUUUCAUGGGAAAUUGCCCUUUUAGUCUACAAUCUAUGAUGCUAUAAAGGUUUUUCUGAUCUCUCAGCAAAGGCCUUGCCCAUUUCAUUAAGUUAUUGCCACCAUUCGACCGAGACUUAUCCACUACAAGAUUGAUAAGGAUAUCCACAAGGACUUUAAGAGUUGGAUUAUCAAUAUGGAGGAACUUCAAGAUUGUAGCCCAUCAUUAAUAACAGUAUAUUCACGACCUCUACCUAUGGACUCAAAAUUUUAUCCUAAAGUAAUCACAUCCAAGACAUAUGAAUUGACUAGAAGUAGAAAAUAAAGUAUAUCUCACCACCACUUAAAUAAAUGAAACAAGAAAUUUUACCAUUCCCUUUGGCCGUAAGAUUGUCUUGACCACAUCUCCAACAAAAAAAAACCGUCCGAACAAAAUCAAAUCAUUCAACACACAUAAUUAAAGUAAACCAAAUUUUCCUAAACUCAUAAAAGUAAUAAUGCAUGGAAGCAUAUCCUUUAUUAACUUUCAAGUUUUCAAAAACUAAAAUGAAAAAGGUUAAUUAAUAUACCAUUGGGCUUCUAAAAACAACAUAUGCAAUUGACAUUACCAUAUAAUUCAAAUAAUGCAUCUAACGAGCAACACGUAUAACUCAAUAAGUAUACAAGUCUAAAAUUCAAAUUUUUUGAAUGAAAAAAAAAAUAACAAAAGACAAUAAGAGAAUCAUUAUACUAGAAACAUUGACGGAAAAUAGAGUAGGAUUCGAAAAUUUGUUAAGGGUCAUAUCUGAUAAAAGCAUCUAUGUUGUGCACAUUCCUUUCUUUUCUUUUGUUGCAACUUUCAUCUUAAUCAGAAAAAAGAAAACACCACAGCACGAUGAAAACAAAGCCAUAAAAAAUUAUUCAUCAGCUUUAAUGCUUUUCGGUGAAAUAAUUAGCUGCCACGAAUAAUAAAUUUCAUAUAUGUCAAAUAUUACACAUAUUUUUUCUAACACAAGCAAUUAGUACUUUCUUAACAACUAUUCUUUUGAUUUUUCGCAACACAGGAAAUAGUUCUUUUUGGCUUAUUUCUAUUGUAUAAUUCAUUCACUUUCAGUUAUUCCUUAGUGAAUUGUAACAUAAGUAAACUAAAUUAACUUAUUAACUACCAUUGAAAUGCUAUUUGCAUUUGACCAGAGAGUGUAUAAUAGUUUUCUGCUUAGCAAUCAAAUUCUACAGCUGAAAGAUAGAGAUAAAGAAGGCGUUUAAGGGCAAAUAAAAUAAAAUAAUUAUAGAGACGUUGAGAAAAAGUAGAAAUGCAAAGAAAAAAAACCUUAAUUCGGACUGAGAGUAGCAGAAUGUUUACAUCAAUAUUGGGGUUAACAUCCCGAGAGCAUUACCCAACUACAAUGCAAUAUAGAGCACCAAGCCAAGGAUAAAGAUCCCAACCAAAAACUUAAUUAGGAAAGGCGCAUGCUAAUGAAAUGUUGUCAAGAAAUCUAUGAACUAAAUAUUCCAUGAAUGUAUGCAAACAAAGAUCCAAAAGUUCUAAAAUAAAUAUGGCCUAAUAAUAAACGAUCUCAGGUUCUAAUUCCAUGAAUGGAUGGUUGCACAAAACUUGCUUUUAGGAAAAUGUUUCUUAACUUAAAAGAAGUAGAUGAAGAAAUUUCCCAAACAAACUACUAAAAGAUUAUAAUAUCUGGUACCCACCUUCUCCAACUUGUUUCUUGCUUUUACCACACUUACACUUAUGUUUUUAAACCAUAACAUCACUAGAGUUUUCUCUUCCAUCCUUUUACUCUCACUCGCUCUCACUUCACUGAAAGCUUCGUUUAUCAUAUAAGUACAUCGUAAUUGCUAAUUAUAUGCUUGUAUGAUAUUAUAUUGUGUGAUUGAGCUGUCUGAUGAAAUAUGAUAUGUGAAAUUGAGUUAGGAUUUAAUUUGACUUACAUGAAUUGUAUUUUGAAAUCAGGUAUGUUGUAUAGUUGGUAUUAUAAUUUAGAUUAAUUGAAUCAUUGAAUAGUGUACAAUAUGAUAAUUGAUAUGUUUUGGAAUCUGUAAUUGUUGUUUGAUUAAGUCGCGGGGUUCAAAUGACAUCAAUCUACAAAAUUAUGUUAUGCAGAUUUAUGCAGACUUGUUGGGUGAAGCCAAAGUCAGAAAGUUAAUGACUUAAUUGUUGCUGAGCGAGAAUAUACCCGUUGGACGAAGUCAAAGUUAGAGAGCUACUGACUUUGUGGUUGUUGGACAAGGAUAUACUCGUUGGGCGAAACCAAAAUCAGAGAACUCACUGAUUUGGAAGUAGUUGGGUGAGACAAGUCUAGUUAGGUGAACUAUCUAGUUGUUGGGCGAAACCAAAAUCAAAGAACUCACUGAUUUGACAGUAGUUGGGUGAGACAAGUCUAGUUAGGCGAAUUAUCUAGUUGUUGGGCGAGUGUGCUCUCAGACACUACUCAUUGAGUGAGUAGAUAUGUUCUUGUUAGAGAUAUUAUAUUUAGUUUAUAUUGUGUUUAUGUUAAUUAGGGAAAUAUAGUCCCUAUAUGUUUAUUAGGGAAACAUUGUUCUUAUUUUAUUUUAUUUUAUUCUUACAUAUUCAUUUGUAUUUGGGCUUAGCACAUAUUUCUUCUAUUAUAAAUAGAGAACACUAUGUGUGUAUUUAACACAAGGGAUUAAUUUCAAUAUAUAAUUUUCACUAUAUUUAACAUGGUAUGAGAGUAGGUUUUCUGAUCCUUUUCUACUUUGACUUUGUUGUCGCUGGUGGCGACAGCGGUCCCCCCAUAAAAGUUUCUUUUUCAACUUGUGCCUUUAUACUUCAAUGGACAAUCUCUAGUUUCUGUCUCGCAUUUGUCUGGUGUUGCUGUCCGCCAAUGCCCGUUGCCGAUGGCCAUCGUCACUAGCCGACGACCGACUGUCGUCUCCGGCCACCGUCUCCGGCCACCAUCUUCGGUCGUCGUCUCCGGCCACCGUCUCCGGCAAUCGUAUCCAGCUGUCGCCUCCGGCCACCGUCUUCGGCCACCGCCGCCGACAACGUCUCCGGUCGUCAUCUCCGGCCACCGUCUCCGGCCAUCGUCUCCGGCCACCGUCUCCAGCAACCGUCUCUAGCCGUCAUCUCCGGCCACCACCGUCUCCGACCACCGUCUCUAGCUUCAACCUUCGUCUCCGUCCACCAGCGCCGACACCGUCUCCGGCCACCAUCUCCAGUUGUCGUCAUUGGCCACCGUCUUCGACCACCGUCUCCGACCACCGUCUCCACCACCAUCUCCGACCGUCGUCUCUGCCACUUGUGCCACCGAUGCACCAACACCUAGUCCUACCUCUACUGCUUCCGCUAUCUUCUUCUCUAUUCUGAAAGGUCUUGAAGGACAGUCAGUGGUUAACACCAAGAAAUUUCAACACUAAAAUUAUGGGUUGAAACAAUUUCACCAACCCUUUGUCAGAUUUGUUUUUUUGGGUGCUUUGAUGAAUAAGAGCUCAUUAUGAUCUUCCACUUUCACGAUUUGUCAUCGGUGCGCCGUUAUUUCCGCCGUUCGUCGUGAGGAGGAGUAUGUUUCCAGCCAAGUUUUAGGCUUUCAGACUCAACUCGUCAGUGAUGGCAGUCCCUGCAUACAGGCCCCAUCAGUCAAUGAUGGUAGUUCCUGUAGUUUUGUCGCUUUUAGCCACUACAUGCCCCAUCAGUCAGUGAUGGCAUUCCGUAAAGUUUUGUCGCUACAGGCCCCAUUAGUCAGUGAUGGCAGUCCCUGCAUACAGGCCCUAUCAGUCAGUGAUGGUAGUCCUUAUAGUUUUGUCGCUUUUAGCCACUACAGGCCCCAUCAGACAAUGAUGACAGUCCCUGUAUACAGGCCCCAUCAGUCAGUGAUGGCAAUCCCUAUAGUUUUGUUGCUUUUAGCCACUACAGGCCCUAUCAGUCAGUGAUGGUAGUCCCUGUAGUUUUGUUGCAUUUAGCCACUACAGGCCCCAUCAGUCAGUAAUGGCAUUCCCUAUAGUUUUGUCUCUUUUAGCCACUACAGGCCCCAUCAGUCAGUGAUGGCAAUUGAUAAUGGUAAUUCUUACCAUUAUCUAUGGUGCAUUUUUCAUGCCAAAUCAACAUUCCUGAAGCUUUAAACAUGCUUGAUCCUCUUCUUUAUCCAACUUUGUGAGUAAACUUAGAUUAGGUUAUACACUUGAGUUUUCAUCUCUUUUCCUCAAAAUUUUGUAGGAACUUUGAGUACUUUGGAAAGGCAUUCAAGUUUAAGAGUGGAGAACCAAGGGAGGACCACAAAAGAAGAAGUCCAAGAAGCUAGACUGGCGCUGGGCGCCAACCUUCUCACGCUGGGCGUGAAAACUGGCUGUUUCCAGCAAGAUUUCACGCUGGGCGCAAGUUUGUCACGCUGGGCGCCAGUUUUCACUGUUUGCACACGCUGAGCGCCACUGUCUCACGCUGGGCGUGAAAUUCCAUUGUUUCCAGGGGUAUUUCACGCUGGGCGCCAUUUUAAUGGCGCUGGGCGUGAGAUGUCUGAUGUGGCACCCUACCCUAUAAAAGCCACACAGUUUUCGAGAGCANGGAUCUUCUUGGCGGCUGAGACCUAGGGAAGCGUUNCUGUGCCUCUUGGAGCUAGUUCUGGACAGUGGGAGCUCUCCUCUCCUUCUCCUUGAGUCUCUUCUUCACCAUUUUCAUUCCAUUGUAAGCUCAAGCUCUCCAUUAAUGGANAACUAAGUUCAUUAUUGUUGGAGAGUGAUGUAAACUAGGAACUUCUUGUAAAUGCACUCGUGUUUAAAUGAAAAAUGCUUCAUUCAUUGCUUGUUGGUGUUUUUGUCUUUCUCUUAAUGCUAGUUAUGACUUGAUCAACCAUAGCUUGAUUGUGGGGUUUACUUAAGGUUGGGAAACUUUGGGUAAAAUUGAACUAGACUAAACACCUAAGGGAAAUAGUGUCUAGGGAUAGAACUAGGACCUUUAGUUGUCAUAAACUUCUUUUCUUAAUGCGGGUGAAUUUGGUGGAUUACCAAGGGAUUGGGAUUUAACAAAUGAACCUAGGCUAACUCACCAAGGGAUUGGGUUUUAGUAAAUUAGCUAGUUGGCAAGAACAAGUAAUUAAUGAAGGGUAUUGUAGUGCAUUUGCAUAGCAAGGAAUUAGUUGAAAUCAUUCUCCAACAUAUUCAUUCCACAUAGUCACCAAUCAUUUUCAUAUUCACUAGUUUUGGCCCCAAUUAGUUCAAAUUUUACUUAUGCAUAAAAUUUACUUUCAUUGCACAAUACUAACCAAAAAUUGGAAUCAUUCUUUAGCUUGAAUGAGUUAGUAAUUAUACGAGUGUAGAGUAAUAUCGAAGUCUCUAGGGAAACGAUUUCCGGUCUUACCGGCUUUACUACUUGCACGACUUGGUACACUUGCCAAAAUCUUAACAGUAUACAAGCCCCAAUUCCUUAGAGACAAGUUCUAAACCUUUAUGUGAAAAUAUUAAUCCCUUAGAUAUUCAAACACAAUAUUUACAUUAAGAAAAGAUGUCUAAAAUGACCCAAAGCCUUGGUUUAUGUCUAGAGCCCAGCCUCUUAGUUGUUAUAUCCAUGUCUAGGUUCCAAAGCAUUUUCCAAUGAUUAAAUACUAAUAAAAUAGCACAUAUAUUCCAUCAUGCAAGUGAAUAAAACGGAUAGAACACAAGAAAUACGAAAUAUAUUCUACUACAUAAAAAGAACUACAAAUAGUUUAGGUGUUUUACAUCCAACCCUAACGAAAUGGAGUUUAACUACUCUUAUACAUCUAGAACAUAAGAAUGGAUUGGAAUGAUGAAAAGGAUGAAGAAAGAUGGAUUUCUUCAACCCUAUAACUGCCUCAACCCGUGUCUUGAGCGUCUAGUUCAUUCUCACGUCCAAAAAACUCUCGACACUUUAAAUGUUUCACCAAAAAAUGUUUCCUUGCUGGGCCAUUGAAUCCUCUCGCUGGGUAAGAGGUAACUUUUUAAACACGUGGCUUUUUCCAACUUGUUAGGCUUCUUGACUAGGAUAGUGUUGUCAAGCUCUCGCUAGCCGAGUAGAGAUAAGCGAGUGGCUUUUAGCAGCAUCUCUUUAAUAUUCUUCAAUUCUUCCAAUUUCUUGCAAAAAUAACUCAAAAAUAGAUAAGUAACUAUCUUUAUAACAACUAUAUACAAGUUUCGCAUCUUUUCAUUGAAUUCAACACAAAAUAAAUAACAAAGAGACAAAUAAGAGGUUUAAUAAGUGUGAAUAAUAGGUAAUUAUCACACUUAUCACAAGGCGAGGUUGUAGUGCCCUAUUUUUGCGAUUCUCAAAUAGAGAGAGAAAGAGGGAGGGAAGAAAGAUGUUGUCGAUGUUGAUGAUGUUCUCAUUCACACUUAGGGAUGGCAGAAAAUUUGUACCUGCGGGUACCCGCGUAUAAAAUCCGCUACGGGUAUUUAGUAUCCGUGGGUAGCGGGUAUUUUAAUAUCCGCUUGUUAACGGGUCGAGUUCGUGUAUCAUCCUAUCCGUAUCUGCAGGUACCCGUUACCCGUUUAAAAACCAAAAUUUUAAUUUUACCCCUAACUAUUUUAUGAAAUUAAAAAAUAAAUUAAAAUAUAUGUUUUUAAUUUUGCCACGGUGGUGUGCAGAGGAAGUGAAGUAAAGUUCCCUUCUUCUUUCUUUUUCUCUUUCACACUUCCUUCCCUUCUUCUUUCUUCUUCUUUCUCUUUCCCUCUACACAAAAACAUCAGUGAAAGAUGAGAUUCAAUGCUAACAAAAGCAGGGUCUUGUAGGCAAAGGGUAAUGCCCUGAGUACGACCCUCAAUUUUAUUUUAUUUUUUAAAAUUUUCACCUUUGAUUACAAAAGCCGAAAAGUGAAACCACAAAAAUAGCACUCACCAGAAGCGAUGUCGGAGGUGGCUGAGAAAGGGCCACGUCCACCAGCGGAGGAGGCGGAGGCCGACGGUUCCGACAACCUUACAUCGGUGGUUUUUGGAGAAUCAGCUGCAGGCUUCAUGCCUAGAAAGUGGAGAUCUGAGAUUUUUUUGUGCAAAUCUGAGAUCCUUAAGUGCAGAUAUGAGAUGUUUUGAUGCAGAUCUGAAAUAUUUUGGUGUAGAUCUGAGUUUGAAGUGAAGAUCUAGGGUUUAUAAGUUUUGAAAAAGAAAGAAAAAUAAACUUUGGUUCAGAAUUUGGGUUUGGAUAACAAUACAGACGCUGUUAACGGGUAUCCAAUAGAUAUUCGCUGGCUGGAAAAAAUCCGCGGGUUUUUUUUAUGCGGGUACCCGGUGGGUAGUGGGACGGGUAACGGGUACGCUUUUGUACAUGCGGGUCGGGUUCGGGUAUCAUACUAUCUGACCCGUUGCCAUCCUUAUUCACACUAUUGUACAAAUGUUUGUCUCACACCUCCAGAUGAUGAAAAAGCUUUCCAGAUAAUUAAUUGUUUUUCAAUGUUAGUUUAAAAUAUAAAGGGUUUGUUUAUUUCAACGUGUGUAAUCAUAAGAGUGAUAUGUGCAUUGUGGAAGAUUUAAUACGUGCAAAAUAUUUUGUGGUUUUGAUGUGACAUUUAAAGUCAUAUUCUCUCUUGUUAUGGGGCAAGGUGCUAUUUGAUGGUUGUACAGGAUAUUUCUCCUAUUGAAUCAGAAAAGUUUGGUGGUAUAUGUGGAAACUGAAUUUCUUUUUUUAAAAGAAGGGGUUUUGACCGCGGUUCAAGAAAGAACCACGGUCAUAUCCCCAGGUUUUUACCGUGGUUGGAACUGUGACAAAAGGUUAGACGAAUUUUUUUUUUUUUUAAAAAGGGGUUUAGGUCGCGGUUCAAGAAAGAACCGCGGUCAUAUCUCCAAGUUUUUAUCGCGGUUGGAACCGCGACCUAAAAUCCUAGACUUUUUACCUUGCCUGUAUAUGUCGCGGUAACCGCGACGUAUAGUCAAAAACAAUCACGGUUUUUUUCCUUCCCUACACUAGUAGUCGUACAAAAUCUUAAUAACUCUGAAUUAAAGUCAUGGUACAAAAUCUUAAUAACUUGUAAAUUAAAGCUGUGAAGACAACUUUUAUCAUUAUAUUUGGAAAAGAUAAAAUCGUUUUGAAUCCUAAAUUAAGUUUAGUUAGAAAAAAUAUUUCUUUUAUAAAUAUUUUAAAUUAAGGUUGUUAUGAGACAUAAUAACUCUUAAUUUAGAGGAUAUCGUUUACAGGAGUCGUGACUUUCAAUUAAAUUAAAAUAUUCUUCAAUUAUCACAACUUCACAAACCAAAAUCGUGAUAAGUGAUAAUGAUUUUAAUUAUUUGUUUCUUAUAAAGAAAUAGAGCUUGUGUUGAAAUAUUGAAGUCCAGAAAAUCAUUAAUGUACAUGAGUCUAGGUUAUAGUCAAAAUAGAAUUAAUUUAUAAUAAAGUUUUAAUUAACUAUUAAAUAUUUUUUAAAAUUGUGUAAGUUUUUAUAAUAUUUUAAAUUGCAAAUUGAUUUCAAAAGUUUAAAUUAAUUAUAAAUUGGUUUUUAAUUAAUUUUUAUUAUUUGUAAGUUAAUUGAAAAAUUAUGAUCGAUCUAACAUGGUUGGACUUGACUUACUCAACUCAAAUCCAACCCAAUUUUUUUCUUUAAAUUUAGUUUUCUUUUUCUCAUUUGACAAUUUCUUAAAUUUAAACAUUUUUUAAUUAUAAACUACCAACAAAAUAAAUUAAAUCUAUUUACAAUAAAAUUAUAAAAAUUAUUUAUGUUUACAAUAACGAUAAAAAUUAUUUUUAAUUAUUAUAGAAAAACUGAACACACAUAUAUAUCUUCACUGGUUUAUAUUAAUAUAAAUAUAUAUUAAAACAGUAGUUAAUAAACAAUUAUAUUAAGGAAUUCAAUUUUUUCACAUACACAUUUUAUUCUAAAUUUACUCUUCAAGUAACUAUUAUUUGAAACUAAAAUAACAACAUUUUCAUUUUUACCCUUUAAAUAACUAGUUAAUCUAAAUUUAAUUAUGUUGUAAAUUACUAUUCAUCAUUUUAGUAACUACUUUUCUAAUUUCAAUUAAUUAUUUCUAAUAAAAAACUAUUUAAUAAAAUUUAUUUUGCAAUAUAAUAAAUAUUUAGUAGAAUGAAAAAAAGAAAUGGACCAACAAGCACGUACAUGUCUUUCCACCCAUAAAAGAUAAAGGUAAUAACUUUUAUUAAAAGAUAUCGGAAACUUAUAUGUUUCCGAUAGUGUUAUUAUUAAACUUCUGAAUAAAUUUUUAAUACUAAAAACUAUAAUACAAAAUACAAGGUGUAUCUGGUCUGGUGAAAAGAAAAAUCAGUUUUGACAUCUACAAAUAAAUUUUAAAAAUUAAUUAAAUCUAAAAGUAAUUGUUUUGCUCUGGAUUCAGUCAUGUUUUUUUUUUUUUUAAUUUUUCUUCCAUUGAAGUGUUUUAAUUGUUAUAUAGAAAUCUUUUAUAUACGUAAAAACAAUAUAAUUAUUUUUAUUAUUUUCUGUCAAAAUAUACAUUACGAACUAAUAUUUUUCAAAAUUGAUGGAAGAGAAGUGUAUCCAUGACUCAAUUUCAUAGAUUGGUCUAAAUACUUCUUUAAAUAAAUAAAUGAAAUAAUAAGAAAAAUAAAGAUGAAAGUUAAACUAUAUCUCUUCAAAAUAACUGCACCUCUUCUCAUAGAACAUUGCAUAAUGAAUUUUAAAUAAAAUAUGUUGUCAUUAUUAACUUAUUAUUUUAAUAAGAAAAUAAAAGUAGAAGCUUUGAAUAAACAGUAGUGUCAAAUAAUCACCACUCAAUAUAAAAAUAUUUUAAAAUAGAGGAAUUAUCUAUGAAACAAUUUUACUUUCAUAAUAAGAAGGUUGUCAUGAAUAUCUCUAAACCUGUUCAUCUUGUUUAUAUACAAAGAACAAACAUAUUCAUACCUAUAAAAUAUACAUCAGAUAUCACUUUCAUUGGAAAUAUUUAAAUUACAUAUCAAUUUUGUACACACGUUCAUCCAACAAUAAUACUAUUGAAAAUAUUACAUGAGACUCAUCGAAUUAUGAAAUUAAAUAACUUACAAAUUUACUUAUAACAUUUUUCAUUUUGUGUUUACUUGAAAUCCUAUUUCUUAAUAUAAAUUAAAUACAUAUUAAACCUGAUCAUAUAUAUUAAAUGUUUUCUUUAUUCUAUUUAAACAAAUCUUAGUAGUCUUUAUAAAACACAUGUCAAACACACUCUUGCACAGAAUUCUCGAGCUAAGAAGAUCUUAAUUGUAAUUAAUGACGAUUGACCCUUGUCCAACUAAUUAAGCUUUGUUGUUGAGUUCAACGUGUUUUUUCGAAGGAGAAUGAUAUUUUGACAAUUUCUUUUUUAAUAAUUUUUUUAUAACAAAACGCGUGUUAUUAUUUUAUUGGUUUGUUUGAAUUUAUGUUUAAAAAAAUAUUUAAAACGAAUCAAUCAUAUAUUACCACCUAUGCGUUAUAAAAAAAUUGUUAAAGAGAUUUUUUUUUUAAUUCGAAUUAACUAUAUUAUAUAAUAAUGGCAGAAGUAAAACUCAGGAUAUUUGGAACAAAUUAGAAUUUGCAGAACAUACAUAAUAUUCAUCUCUUUAAUUUGCUCUUAAACCCAUAAGAAAAGUCACUGGAACAUUCCAUGACUAUAGACACGACGUUUUAUUCAUAAAAUAUCUUAAGUACUACGUUGUUGACGUGAGUUGUCUCAGUUAUGAGUCUCAUCCUGAGUUUGUGCAACAACAGCUUCACCAGCGUAAGAGCAGCACCUUAUGCAACGUCCGUUGAAAAACCGGCAACAGCCGAAACGACAGCCCACAUCACGUGCAGGGUAGCCACCACCAUGACCGUCACCACCAUGACCAGGAUAGCCACCGCCAUUACCAGGAUAGCCGCCGCCAUAGCCUCCACCAGGAUAUUUGGCUUCACCAACUCCAUUUGUCACUUUAACAACCCCAAACUGGUUAGUGAACACAACAAAUAUUUUUGUACAUCAUUAAGUAAAAACUUAUUACAUAGUUAGAAAACUACGCAUUGAAGUUAAGAAUGUAUUAAAAAACAAGAUGAAUAUUGUAACAUACCCUCUUUUGCAUUGGUGGAUUUCACCUCUGAGGAGGCUAAAAGGAGCAUAGCGAACAUGGCUAGGAUCAGUAUUGCCAUCUUCAAACCCAUCUUUCAGUAUUAAGGAGAUAUGUUUGGUAAAGAAGGAUGAGAAAAGUAGUGGAAAGCAUGGUGUAUAUAUAGGAGUGAAGAUACAGAAAUAGGAAUUGUUCGUUGGCGUUUAUUAAUGCAAUCUUAUCUUGCAAGAGUUUUGUUCUUCACUUAUGUCCUUCUCUACUUUGAACGGUAGAAAAAUGUAGCUAUGUCAUUCCCUACUUUGAACGGUAGAAAAAUGUAGCUUUUAAAUUGAAGCACAGUAGUUAUUCUACCCUUGUCAACUUGGCACACAUCAUCUAGGGUGGACAAAUGAAACUCCAUAUACUUUAUUACUAAAAAUUGUACUGAACUAAAAAUUAGUUUGUUUAAAUUUAACUAAAUUGUAAAACAGUUCAGACAAACUGAACUGUUUUUUGUUUUAUCAAACUGAACUGGACUCUACUAAAUUGUACUAAACUACACUAUAAACUGAACUGAAUUACAAUUUUAAACUGAAUUGUACUAAUUUUUAAACUAAAUAGUAUAACAAUACAUGUUCUUUUUAAUUGAAAUUUUUUAAUAUUUAUCUUAUUUUAUUCAUAAGUGUUUUAUAAAUUGAUUUUUUAAUUAUUUGAUAUUAUUAUUUUCUAUUUUAUUUAUAUUUCUUUUAUUAUUGGAAAUUAUUUUAUUUUUUAUUUAUUUAUUUUAUUUUAUUGAUAAAAAAAUAUAAAAAAUAACGUUACACACUAAUACAAACAAAAUAUAUAUAUAUAUAUAUAUAUAUAUAUAUAUAUAACUUAAAAAAUAUAAGAAUAUAAAUUACGUUUUUUUAUUUAUACACAUUAUAUGUUUAUUGAUAAAAAAAUAUAAAUUUUAUGAUAAAAAAAAUUUGUUUUAAAAAAUUAAUUAUUAAUUUUUUUUAUGCAAGUUGUUUCUUUUAUUAAUAUUUUAUUAUUAAAUAACUUUUUUUACAAGACAAAACAAUUGAACGGGAACUAGAGAAGAGGAAAGAGUAGAUAUAGUUCUUACAGUUAACUAAAUUGAAACUCUUAUAAGUUCAGUUUGUAAAAAUUGAACCAUAAAAUAGUAUACUGAACUUCUAAGAAGAGUGAAUAAGUUUUUUAGUAUAUAAUAUAGUACAGUUAACUGUAGUACAAUACAAAUCAGUUAUUUUUGCCCAGCCCUACACAUAUCACUUAUAGUUGGCCUUGCAUUUAGAUGAGGACUCAAGCAUUUGAAAGCCAACAUAGCAACUUUCAUGGCUCCUUUCAUGGGAAAUUGCCCUUCUAGUCUACCAUCUAUGAUGCUAUAAAGGUUUUUCUAAUCUCUCACCAAAGGCCUUGUCCAUUUCACUAAGCUUUUGUUACCAUUCGAACGAGAGUUAUCCACUACAAGAUUGAUAAGGAUAUCCACAAAGACUUUAAGAGUUGGAUUAUCAAUAUGGAGGAACUUCAAGAUUGUAGCCCAUCAUUAAUAACAGUAAUUUCACGUCCUCUACCUAUGGACUCAAAAUUUUAUCCUACAGUAAUCACAUCCAAGACAUAUGAAUUGACUAGAAGUAGAAAAUAAAGUAUUUCUCACCACCACUUAAACAAAUGAAACAAGAAAUUUUACCAUUCCUUUUGGCCGUAAGGUUGUCUUGACCACAUCUCCAACAAAAAAAAAGAACGUCUGAACAAAAUCAAAUCAUUCAACACACAGAAUUAAAGUAAACCAAAUUUUCCUAAACUCAUAAAAGUAAUAAUACAUGGAAGCAUAUCCUUUAUUAACUUUCAAGUUUUCAAAAACUAAAAUGAAAAAGGUUAAUUAAUAUACCAUUGGGCUUCUAAAAACAACAUAUGCAAUUGACAUUACCAUAUAAUUCAAAUAAUGCAUCUAACGAGCAACACUGAUAACGGUAAUUCUUACCAUUAUCUAUGGUGCAUUUUUCGUGCCAAAUCAACACUCCUGAAGCUUUAAACAUGCUUGAUCUUCUUCUUUAUCCAACUUUGUGAAUAAACUUAGCUUAGGUUACACACUUUAGUUUUCAUCUUUUUUCCUCAAAUUUUGUAGGAACUUUGAGUACUUUGGAAAGGCAUUCAAGUUAUAAAGAGUGGAGAACCAAGGGAGGACCACAAAGAAGAAGUCCACAAGAAGCUCACCAAGACUGGCGUUGGGCGCCACCCAUCUCACGCUGGGCGUGAAAACUGACUGUUUCCAGCAAGAUUUCACGCUGGGCGCCACUUUCUCACGCUGGGCGUGAAAACUGACUGUUUCCAGCAAGAUUUCACGUUGGGCGCCACUUUCUCACGCUGGGCGUGAAAAUCCACUAUUUCCAGGGGUAUUUCACGCUGGGCACCACUUUAAUGGCGUUGGGCGCGAGUUGUUUGAUGUGGCACCCUACCCUAUAAAAGGCACACAGUUUUCGAGGGUUAGGAUCUUCUUGACGGCUGAGACCUGGGAAAACGUUCUUACACCUCUUGGAGCUAGUUCUGGACAGUGGGAGCUCUCCUAUCCUUCUCCUUUAGUCUCUUCUUCACCAUUUUCAUUCCAUUGUAAGCUCAAGCUCUCCAUUAAUGGAGAGCUAAGUUCAUUCUUGUUGGAGAGUGAUGUAAACUAAGAACUUCUUGUAAAUGCACUUGUGUUUAAAUGAAAAAUGCUUCAUUCAUUGCUUGUUGGUGUUUUUGUCUUUUACUUAAUGUUAGUUAUGACUUGAUCAACCUUAGCUUGAUUGUGGGGUUUACUUAAGGUUGGGAAACAUUGGGUGAACCUUGAACUAGACUAAACACCUAAGGGAAAUAGUGUCUAGGGAUAGAGCUAGGAUCUUUAGUUGUCAUAAACUUCUUUUCUUAAUGCGGGUGAGUUUGUUGGAUUACCAAGGGAUUGGGAUGUAACAAAUGAAUCUAGGCUAUCUCACCAAGGGAUUGGGUUUUAGUGAUUUAGCUAGUUGACAAGAACAAGCAAUUGAUGAAGGGUAGUGUAGUGCAUUUGCAUAGGAAGGAAUUAGUUGAAAUCAUUCUCCAACAUGUUCAUUCCACAUAGUUAUCAAUCAUCUCAUUUUCACUUGUUUUGGCCCCAAGUAGCUCAAACUUUUACUUAUGCAUAACUUUUACUUUCAUUGCACAAUAUCAAACAAAAAAUGGAAUCAUUCUUUAGUUUAAAUUAGUUAGUAAUUAUACGAUAGUAGAGUAAUAACGAAGUCUCCUGGGAAACGAUAUCCGAUCUUACCAGUAUUACUACUUGAGCGAUUUGGUACACUUACCAAAGUCUCAACAAGUUUUUAGCGCCAGAGACAAAGCUUUGGUAUUAUGUGUUAAAGUCGUCUGUAAGUACUACGCACGGGUUAUCCCACCUCGUAUAAUAAACUAAAUUAAAAAUGUGCCGAUUCUCCAAAUAGGUAAGAAAAAACCUAUAAUUCAUACCAUGACAAAUGGCCCAGUCUAAUUUCUUUACCCAAUAGAACCGAUUACUGUAUUUAUAUAUAAAUAUUAAACACAUAAAACAUUUUUAUAUUUCCUCUAAUAUUUCUAUUUUAACGUUUUCUUUCAACUGUUUUAUUAACUAAUUGAAAUCUUAAUUUUAAAUUUAUUGUUCCGAAUUGAAAGAUACAGUUAGAAUUUGAAAUUCUGUGAAACAUAAAAAAGUUGAAUGACUCCGAUAUAACUUUUAAAAUAUAUAAUUUUACCCAUUAAAUUAUAUUCUCUAUGGCCAAAGGUGAUAUUAAUUAUGGUAUCAAACUAGCAUGAGGUGGCUACUUAUACUUUUCAUAACAUAGCACACACACGUAGUCAUUCACAGUAAUUGCUGUACUUCAAUUUCACACAGACCACAACUUCUAAGCAUUGGAAAUGGAGUUGAAGAGGAAGUGGGCUAGAAAGUAAAGAAUUUGUACGUUAUACGGCGCCAAUUAAGAGGGUGCCAACUUCUUCCUCAUCCUCUCUUAUAAAACAGUAUGCAUUUCCACUGAUUUUCUCAUCCUUUAUUAGCAGAUAAUCCCGUUUGAGUAUAUGUAUCAUAUAUAGUUUACCCUAGAAAGAUCGAUGGGUUCGAAGACAAAGAUAGCGUUACUUAUCCCAGGUCUGUUGGCCAUGUUCAUUUCGAUUUCCCCAAAGGUGGCAAUGGCAGCUAGGAAUUUUGAAGAGGGUGAGCUAUAUAUCAUUUUGCCUCAAAGUGUGUGUAUGUAUUUGCGAAAUUCAUUUUUCUGUUUAACAUGGUUGGUUGACUUAAGUUAGUGCUUGCAGGAAAAUUUGUUGAAGAGAGAAAUGAAGCGGGUGAUGGCAGAUUAGUAAAUGAUGUUAAAAUACCAGACAUAGGUAAUAGAGGUUUUGGUGGCAUUACAGGCACUGGCAUCCCAGGCACUGUUGAUAUAAUCCCAGGCAUUCUCAGUAGCAUCUCAGGAAUAUUCCCAGAUAUUAUCGGUUUCAUCCCAGGUAUUACCGGUGGCAUCUCAGGUAUCAUCCCAGGUAUUGUUGGUGCCAUCCCAGGUAGUAAUGGUUUCCUCCCUGGUAGCGGCAGCAGUGGCAUCCCAGGCAUCGGCAGCGGUGGCAUCCCAGGUAUCAGUGGUGGCAUCGGAGGCAUCAGAGGUGGCAUCCCAGGAAUCGGUGGUGGCAUCUAUAGUGGUGGCUAUCCAGGUCAAAGAGGAUAUAGAGGAGGAUUUCGUUGCCCUUAUGGCUGUUGUGCUUGGACCAAUGGAUAUUGCACAAGUUGCUGCACAAUAUGAGGAUUUCACCUCUACUUUUUUUUUUUCUUUAAUCAACUAAAUAAAUCUCUUUUAACAUUUGAUAACUUUUUCACAACUCAUAAUUUAUGAUUGGUUCGUUUCAAAUAUUUUUUUAAAAUAAAUUUAUACAUACCAAUAAAAUAGUAACACGUAUUUUGUUGUCAAAAAAUUGUUAAAAAAGAACUAUUAAAAUAUCAUUGUCGUUUAUAUAAUGUGCAGUUCUACGUACUUCAUUUUCUAUAAUUUCUUGUUGUGUGCUAGAGGCAUGAUGGAGAAGAAAGAGGCUUGUGUUUUCCUCUUAACCUUUCUUAUCAUAUGGGUAUUUCAAAUUAAAAUCAUGUUUAAUAAUUUGUAGUUUGUGACUUUACUUCUAUUAUGAGUUUGUCUUUUUCUCUACAAUUAUCAUGUCAUUAUAUUCUAUUUAAUUAUAGAACAUUGCAACCCAAAGCUUAAUUGAACAAGUUGAUUGAAUAAGUUCAUAACCUAACAAACCUUUUAAUCUUUGUAUAUAGAUGCUCGGAAAAUAAAAAAAUUAAGCCUCAUUGUAUAAUAUUUAUUUUUACAUUUUUUAAAAUAAAAUACAAAAUAAACUUUUUGAGUCCCUUUAUAAAUUAAAAUAUUAUUGGGGAUGGAGAUAACAGCUACCUCUGUUACUUGUCCUAGUCGAGAGAAGAUUCAAACCGAGAAACCGAAAUGAUCUGAGGUGUGUAUAGUACAUCCUUGACUUUCCGAUUGAUAUACAAUAUGGUUAAUAAAUUUUUAAAAUUUGAAUGAUUAUAAGCAUCAAGAAUAUAAUGUUGGAGUUGGAACUUUAAAUUAAUAUUCUCUUAUCAAAAAGUUUAAGAAAUGAUUUAUCAUAAUCCAAUAAAAAAUUUAGUGAUGAAAUUGUUAAAAUAAAAAUAAAAUAAUUAAAUCACAAUCAAAAAAUAAAUUAGUUUUUUCUAUAUUCAUAAAAACUGAAUAUAUGAAGCUCAUAAAAUGAAAAAGAAAUAUUGACUAAUAAAUUAAUAUUUCACUAUUAAAGUGAGAUAAUUUGUUUUCGUUGAGAAUAAAAAAGAGAAAAUGAAAAAUUAAAACAGAAAUAGUAAAUUUGUAUGUAAUUUUUUUUUUUAAUUUCAUAACAAUAAGAAAACACGUAAAAAUGAUAUCGACAAAUACAAAAAAAAAUUAAAAAAAAAAUUAAUAAAUAUUUUUAGUUUUUAUUAUAUUUAUUUUAUGUUUCAUUAUUUAUUAGUAUCUUAUAAAAGAAUUCAAAGAUAUCUAAUUUAAUUUUAAUCAAUUCUCGAUAUAUAAUACAUAAUAUAAAAUUUUAAAAAAAGUUUUAAAAUUUUAAAUAUAAAAUUAAAAGUUUUCAAAAAAUAAAUUUGUGGUUGAUGGAGAGGGCAUGACAACCAUGGUCCUUAAAAAGACCUUAUGUAUGAAAUAAUUAUUUUAUGUUUUUAGUUUCUUAAAUAUAAGUGAAAAUUAAAAUUAGUUUUCUUUUAAAUAUUUAAACUAAUUUAAUUCUUUAGAAAUAUAUACAUUAAGUUAUUUUAAUUAAAUUUUAUUGAAUUUAUUUAAUGUUUCAAAAUUGAAAAGAACAAAAAUAUAUAUACUGUAAAUAAAUUAUACGUUAUUAUAAAAUAUGUUUAAAAUCUUAAAUAAAUCUAAUAAAAUUUAAUAAAAAAAUAAAAAUUUACAUAUUUUUAAAGUAAAUAAAAAAAGAGUAAGUUAAAGUUUUAAAGAUGAAAUAAAGUUAAAAGACCUUAUAAUUUUAUAAAACUGAUAUUUGGAGGUUUAAAUUGAAAUGAGUGGCUUUAUCAUAUUUAUGGUGACAAAGACAAUAGAUCAAAUCAAGUAUGAAUAAUUCAUCACUUUAAUAAAAUAUGUUUCACUAGUUAUUACAUGCAUGAAUUGUAACCUGAUAUCUGUAAGUUUUUUUAUUAUACUUGCAGGUAGGAAGGUAUUCAUGAUACCUGUGAUAUUUUUAUAUUUUAUUUUUUAAAAUUUUAAAUAAAUUAUUUAAAAAUAAAUCUUUAAAAUAUAAAUUUAAAUAAAAAAUAAUUUAUAAGUAUAAUUUAAAUUAAAUUACUCAAUAAAAUAUUAAAACAAAUAAAUUUAAUCUUUUUAUAAAGUAAAUUUAAAUGAAUUUUAAUAAUUAUUUUUUAUAAAAUAAUCUCAAUUUCAUGUUUAAAUAAACAAUAGAAAUAUAUAAAAUCAACUAUUCAUUGAUUAAUAUUUAUUUUAUUAAUAAUUUUAUUUUAAUUAAUUGAAUUUAAAAAAUAUGUAAAUAAAAUAUAUUAAUAAUUAUUAGUAGAAAGUAAAUAUUCUAGGAUGGGUCAAUAUUAUCCAUCCAAUUAACAAAGGGAUAAUUAAGUAUAUGUUAUAGUUGUAUAUCCAUGUAUCCAUCCAUUAAAAAUAUCAAUUUAUUAUUGGUUCCUAAUUUUUUUAAUCCCUAUAAUAUUGCUUAAUAAAUUGGCAUUUGUUCUCAGUUCCAACAUGUCCAAAAUCAUUUGACCUUUUUCAUAGAUCCAAUAAUUUUUUAUUUAAAAUUUCUUCUAGAAAAACUAGUUAUGAUAAAUAAAGACUCCAUUCUUUAGUAAUUUUUUUUAAUCUAAAAAGAAUAUAAUAGGUAGAGAUUUUUAAUCUUGUAUAUCUUUAUUUUUCUUUAAAAUACUCAAUCAACUUCAAAUUGAUUUUUAGAAAAGAUUAUGUCAUCCACAUGCAACGAAAGAAUAAAAAAAUAGUUAUACGUUGUUUGACAUACUUUAGAAAUAACUAUGAAAUUGUUGGAAUAUCGAUAUGUUCAUUCCAGCUCUUUUAUCAUGAAUCUAAUUCAAAUCAACAUCAAACAUCAAACAAUGAAUGGUAUAUCCCAAAAAUAAGAAGAAGGGUUGAGUAUGGUAUCAGAAAUGCUAACUUUUUUGGAGAAACCUAACUUAUUAUAUAGGCUGAAUUGGCAAGUUCGAAAUUUAUUGCAACUAAACAGAAAAAUGAGAAAACAACCUUUCAAGUACUGCAAAUUUGAAAGGAUAGCAAAAUAGGAAGGUUUAGUGAUUUGGAGGGAUGAACUGAGAAGCUUGGUGGAUAGCAAAAUACUCAUAAAUUAGGUUGCAAUAAGUGGACAGAGAGUGAGAAAAUUAUGGCUAUAUAGAAUUAUGAAAGAAAGAAAUUAUAAGUUCAACUCUUCCAUUAAUAUUAUAGUACUAAUUAAUAUUUGUUGAUAAAAAAAAAUCUAUAUUAAUGAAUUAUGUAAGUAAUAAAAAUCUUGAUAAUAAAAACCAAUUUAAAAUCUAAUUCAUAAUUAAUUAUAAUUUAUUAAUGAUAAUCAUUAUUCAAAGAUUUCCUUAUAAUAUCAUUUUAUCAGUAAGGAACACGGGUAAAAUUUGUUAUAUAUUUGUUUUAAAUUAUCCAAAUAAGGUUUUUCUAUAAAUUAUAUGCAUUUUGCAAUGUUAUAUCAACUUAAAUAUUUCAAAAAGAAAUCAGUAAAAAUUAUUAUAGUAAGUAGUAACUUGAUUUUAUAAAGGAAAAUGAUAUUUUAACACUAUUUUUUGACACUAUUUUGACACUGCACACGUGUCAAAAUGUGAUUGGACGAUUUCAAAUUAAAAAAGUUGAGACAGGGGUAUGUUUGGAAGAAAAAAACCAAAGUUUGUUUUUUUAAUUUAAAAUUGUCCAACCACAUUUUGACACGUGUGCAGUGUCAAAAUAGUGUCAAAAAAUGGUGUUAAAAUUUUAUUUUCCUUUUAUAAAUUUUAUAGUUGAUUUCAUUUUCUAUCAUGCAUUUCUCAUUACAUUGAAACAAUAUUAAUGGUUUCAGAAUGACAUCACGGGAGGAGGUAUGAGAAAGUAAUUAAUUAGACCCACUCAACAACUGUUUUAAUAAUAUAAAAAUAUGUAUUAGCAUUAUAAAUUAAAAAAUAAUAAUUAAAAUAUUAAUAUUUUAGAAUUGUUAUGUAAGUGUUUUUAAGUGAGAGUUGUCAAUAUAUCAUCCUCAUGACCCAUAUAUACCCAUGUUAACUUUCCGUGUUAACCUUUGAUGCUUGUAACGAUGGCGAUGCAAGCUUAAGUUUAGAUAUGCAAUCGCUCCACAUUUUACUAUUUCAUUACAGAAUUACGUUUAUACAAGCAUAACGAAUGCUAGCUACUUGAGAAAAUUAUGAAGAAAAGUGCAAAUUUUGAGCUUGUUGGAGAAAACUGAAUUUAUUAUUAUUUAGACUACAUUGGCAAGAUGAUUGCUCAACACCAACAAUCUCCCUCCUUCCUAUUACUAUAUAUACGGCCACUUCCUCGCUAAUUUUCAAUUCAACAUCUCAUCACCGAACAUUUAUUUCUGAAAAAUGGUUUCUCGGGAAACCUUACUCUUCCUAGGCCUCUUGGCCAUGGCUUCUCUCAUACCCUCUCAUGGGACUGCUAGGAACCUUGCUCAGACUACCUCGAUGUCCUCUUCAAAGGGUCAGUUCUGCAUGCGUUUGCUUUCAAUAACUUUACUGAACUCAUGAUAAAACUUGUGUCUUGUUCCUCAAUCAUAGUUACUCUGCUUUCAUAUGAAAUAUAUAUGUGAUUCUGACAGUUGCUCAUGUUCUUCCAUGUAUUUGUAACUGAACUUGUUAUAGAUAAAAACCACAUCAAUGGUAUCAAAAAUGACGAAGACCAUGGAGGUAAUAGAUCUAACAGUGGAUCUGGUGAUUAUGGAGGUGACCAUAAAGGUGAUAAACCAGAUGAAAGACACGGUGAAAAUGGAGGAAACAAUGGAAGUAAUAGACCUGGAGAUGGACCCGGUGAUCAUGGAAGUGACCAUGGAAAUGAUAAACCAGGCAAGGAAAAUGGUGAUUAUGGAGGCAACCAUGGAGGUAAUAGACCUGGCGGUGGACCUGGUGAUUAUAGAGGCGACCAUGGAAGUGAUAAACCCGGCAAAGAACACGGUGAUUAUGGAGACAACCAUGGAAAUGAUAAAUCAGGCAAAGAACAUGGUGAUUAUGGAGGCAACCACAAAGGUGAUAAACCAGGUGGAGGACCCAAUCAUCAUGGACACGAUCGUAAAGGUGAUAAAUCAGGCAAAGGACACAAUGAUUAUAGAGGCAACCACAAAGGUUAUAGACCUGGCGGUGGACCCAGUAACUAUGGAGGCGAUCAUGGAGGUGAUAAACCAGGCGGAGGACCAGGUGAUCACGGAGCUGAUAAACCAGGCGGAGGACCCGGUGACUAUGGAGGCAACCAUGGAGGUGAUAAACCAGGCGGAGGACCAGGUGAUAAUGGAGGUGACCACAAAGGCAACGAUGAAGGAGAUAAACCAGGGGGUGGACCCGGUGACCAUGAUAAACCUGGAGGUGGUGGUGGAGUCGGUGACCAUGGAAGCAACCAUGAAGGUAAUAAACCAGGCAAUGGACCCGAUGGAGGCGACCAUCAAGGUGAUAAACCUGGAGACGACCAUGGAGGUGAUAAAUCCGGUGGGGGCGAAUCAAGAAAUGGUGGACUCAAUAAUUGUGGAGGUGGACUUAGAAAGGGUGUUUGUGGAGGUGGCCAUGUUGAUGGUUACAAUAGUGAAGCUCCUUGAAAUUUCGAUGACAAGCCUAAUGGUAAAUAGAAUGGAAAGCCUUGUGGACUUGGCAUUAAAAAUUAUCUAAAAGACCAUAAUUAGGUCAUUUACGAGCACGUUAUGUUAAUUCCGAGAGAGUAUGUUGCUAUCCUAUAUGAACACAAAGUAGUGGAAUGUUAUCCACCUAAUAGAAUAUUAUUUAACCCCACUAGUGCAGAUAAGAAAUACGACGAAUGUUGACAAUGGAUAUCGAUUCUACAAUAAAAUCAUAUUAAGACGGGGUAAAAAAAAUGGUUAUUUCCUUCCACGCAACACCAUUUCUACUAUAUCAUGUCCCUCCCACACAACACAUCUCCCAUCUCUCACGCACAACACUUUUGAACAAGAACCGAUUGCAGCACUGAAGUCCACCUUUGCCAGCGAGUGCGACGGACAUUCCAGCUCUUUAUUCAGAAAGUGAAGAAAAUGGUUAUUUUAAGCUUAAUUGAAAAGAUAAAUUCUACAAUUAAUUAAUUUCCACAAAUUUAAAAUAUUGUAGACUACUCAAUCUUAACAUUUAGUUUAUAUAUUGGAGCCUUCUUAGUUGAACGAUACUAAGAAACCUAAUCACCAAGGGCUAUUUGAUAUUUACUUCAUGUAAAAAAUGUUUAUAAGAAAACAUUUUGAAAUUCUAAAAACAUUUUUUUACGUUGUUAUGAUCUUUUGUUCUUGUUUUUUUUUUUAAAAAAAAAAAAAGAAAACACAGGGUGCAUUAAUUUACCCUAGUGAAGUUCGUCAUUGGUUCUAUAAAUAGAAAAUCAACAUCAGUCUACAAAUUUUCUUAUCAUGAAUCUAAAUUCACAUACAUAGAACCGUCAACAUCAAACAUGCUACAUCCCAAAAAUAAUAAUAGUGCCCUAUUUUUGCGAUUCUCAAAUAGAGAGAGAAAGAGGGAGAGAAGAAAGAUGUUGUCGACGUUGAUGAUGUUCUCAUUCACACUAUUACGUCGACACCAUGAGAAACUUGCAAAGGUGUGACCAGGGGUACGUUGGAGAAGCUGAAAUGUGAACAUUAUAGAAGAAAAUCUCGCCAGUAGUGUUGGUGGCCUGUCUUAUCUUGGUCGAAGGCAAAGGGCAGUGGCUGCGAGGCCUUAGGUUGCAAUUGUGGUGGGUUGCAUAUGAGAGAAGAUGACGAAAGGGAUAUAUGCUGAUAUUGAAUGCAAGAUUUGGACAAAAAAUUUGUUGAUCAUUUUAUCGAUAGAUUUGUCGGUCGGUAAUAAGUUAUGUAAUUAUCAACGAAUUAUUUCAUCAGUAAUACAUAUUUAUUUAUCGACCAAUUUUUUUUGUAAGUAAAUGAAAUAUGUAUUAUUAAAAAUUUAUUGACGAAUUUUUUCAUUAAUAAUAAAUCUAUUAAUAAAAUUUAUAAGUAAUUAAAAUUUCAAAAUUCGUAUGUAAAUUUAUCAAUGGAUCUAUUUCCAUUAAUAAAAUUUCGCCAAUUCCAUGAAUUUUUGUAGGUGUAUGACUAUAACAACAAUAAACCAAUGACAAAGUCUUAUAUGUUUUUACCGUGUCUAAUACUAAGUCUAUUUAAUCUCAAGGCUUCCACUGAUGUUUAUUUAGAGUCUUUGAUUGAUGAUUUGAAUAAGUUGUAGAGUGGUAUUUGAAUGUAUAAUGUUUUAAGGAAGCAAAAUUUUCUUAUGAGAGUAACUUUGAUGUGAACUAUUAAUGACUUUUCUACAUAUGAGAUGUUAUCUGAUUGGAGCACAUAUGGUAUAUUAAUUUGUUUGCAUUACAUGAGCACAUUAAAGCAUUCACAUUAAAUUAUGAUCGAAAAAGUUGUUGGUUUGACUAUCAUCGCAGGUUUUUGUCCAUUGAUCACCUGUUUAGGAGAAACAAUAAGGAACCAUCUAGUAACAACAACAAGACCUACAUAUGAGAUGUUAUCUGAUUGGAGCAUAUAUGGUAGAUUAGUUUGUCUGCAUUACAUGAGCACACUAAAGCAUUCACAUUAAAUUAUGAUCGAAAAAGUUGUUGGUUUGACUAUCAUCAUAGGUUUUUGUCCACUGAUCAUCUAUUUAGGAGAAACAAUAAGGAACUAUCCAGUAACAACAACAAGAUCCUGAAAAAGAAACAGAUAGAUAUGUAGAUUAUUAAGACUUUGUUACUUAUAGACAUACAUUUAAAAAUUCUUUGUUUGUUUGAAUUACCAUAUAAAUAAGUUUGAGAUGUUUGUCUGAUAUUAUACAAUGUUUGUUUAGAUUUUAUUGUAUGGUUGGUAUUAUCAAUUUUAUAUCUUUUUAAUGUUUAUGUUCAAUAUGUUUGUUUGGUAAGCAUGAAAUACAAAUGAAUGUACUAAAAGUUGUUAUGGCAUUUAUUAACGAAAUUUAUUAAUGGAUAAAUCUCUCGGUAAUGUUUUAUACUUUGGUCAAUACUAAUAGAUAUAUCUCUUGGUUAAUUUUACCAACAACAUCUUUACCGAAGAAUUUUUGUAGUUUUUAAUAGAUAUUGAUUAUUAAUAAAAAAAUAGUUUUUUUUAGCGAAUUAAUGUGUGUUGGAAGGUAUCUGACCCACAAAAUAUUUAAAAAAUAUUACUGUAUAAGUUUAACGUGAGAUUUUAUUACAUCUGACGUAUGAUUGGUGACGUUGAAAACUCUUCUUGUUUUAAUUAUUUAGAAAGAUGAAAUUUUAACACUUUUAAAUACAAUUUUUUUUUGUUUAAAAUUUUGAGUUUAGUAAAUAUUGAUUACUACAUUUUCUAAAAAUACAAUUUGAGUCAUACAUAUUCAUAUCAAUAGUUUCGUCACGAACAUGUCUAGUUUGACUUUAAAAGCGACUUGUUAGCUGCAUUUUAGUGAAACGGAUUUUUUUUCUUUUUGGAAUUUAUAUUUUGAAACCUAAAACUGUCAAAUAAAAAUGGAUAUUAUUUUUGUACAAUUCUUGUACAUAUUCUUAAUGAAGGUUAUUUCAUGUUCAAAACUACAGAAAUUGAUAGUUUACAAACUUUAUGAUAAACAUUUAAUGAACUAUUGAAAGUUUUGUUUUUAUUCUUAUAAUUUAUAUAAAAGAAACUAAAGAGACUGAAUUAAGUUUCGUUUAUAUUUAUUAGUCAGUUAAAGAAACUCCAAGAUGAAGCAAGUAGGCAUUUUCAAAGAUGAAUGACGACAAAAGAAAAUAAUCGUAGUUGGAAAUACUUCCACAAGAAGGAUAGUAUACCAAUGUGAAAGGAAAACUCACUCUUAUUUUAAAUAUAAAAGUUUUUUUUUAUAACGAUUUUACAUUUAUGUUAUAUGUUAAAUGAAUGUAAAAAUAUGUCAUUAUAUCAUUAUUCUUAAUGAAUACAUAUACAAUGAAUACACAUAUUCAAGCUAUCACAAAAUAGUUCUCAUAAAGUGAUAUUCUUAAUUACAUUUAUUUGACAAAGUAUAAAAAAAAUGAUAAUAAAGAAAUAAACUUUUUAAAUUUAUAUUUUUUCAAAAAAAAAGAAAAUAAAAAUAAUAAAAGAUAAUAUAAAAAUUUAUGUAUGUCAAAAAUAUAUUUUUUAUCAUAAAAACAUUAAAUCAAGGUGGAAAUGAAAUGUUAUACUUAAUGAGGAAAUGUUAUAUUUAAGAGUAAUAAUAACAUGACACACUUUUACAUUCAUUUCACAUACUAUAAGGAUAAAAUGAAUGUAAAAAAUUUAAGUGUGUCAAAAAAUCAUUUUUCUAUACUUAAGAAUAGUAAUAUCAUGACACACUCUUACAUUCAUUUGAUUGAGAGUAUAAAGAUAAAAUAGUAGUGUAAACUUUUGUAAAAGAAGAAGGACAAUGAUAUUUUGACAACUCUUUUUAACAAUUUUUUGACAAAAGAAUACGUGUCAUCAUUUUAUUGGUAUGUUUGAAUUUAUGUUUAAAAAAAUAUUUGAAACGGACCAAUCAUAGAUUGUCACGUAUACGUUGUCAAAAAAUUGUCAAAAAAUAGUUGUUAAAGAGACUUUCUCCAAAGAAGAAAGUUUCCAACCUGACGUGGCAGAAGACACUAAAUGUGAAACUGAUUCUUAGUUAGAAGACAACUUGAAUUUCAAUGUAGGUAAACAUUUUACUUGGACUUUGUUCACUUGAAUGAAUUUGGGGAGAGUGAUUGAAUGAAUUUGAGAUGAUUUGAAAAUAAUAUUUUUGUUGUUUAUUUAAGUGGAUUUAGAGGUAAUUAAGAGUUGAUUUGGAAGUAAAUUUUUUAAUCUAUCAUAUAAAUUAAAUCCUACAUUAUUUCUCACAUUCUUUACUUUUAAAUCUAUUCUCACUUACCUCCGAAUAUACUCAAAUAAAUGAAAAAUAAAAGUUAGCUUUAAAUCGAUUCCAUCAUUAUCUUUAAAUCUAUUCAAGUAAACAAGACAUUAAUGAUAUUCAACCUAGGAGAUGAGGUAACAGUUUAGAAUAGCAGGUUUUCAUGGCAUAGUUAGAGAAGGCCUGAAAGUUCGCGAAAAAGAGGCAAAGAUAUUAAUGUUGCUAUUCAGAUGUGGUCCUGCUCACUCACUCGCAUGCAACUUUUUAUAUUUUUCUUGCACUAUAUAUAGGGUUUUCCCUGACCCCUCCUUUCAUCCUUCUCAAGUAUUGUUAUGGUUAGUAACAAAAUGAAUCUCAAGCCUUUUAUUCUGCUGUGUUCUCUGUACGCGGUGGUUGUCAUCGCUGCGGUUGUGGCUGAUGAUCCACCUCGAGAAGAGGGAAAUGGUACGUCGCUCUCAAAAAGCUUUAUUUUAGUAUCGAUAAUGCACUUUAUUUUUUCGUCAAUAUAGUACUCUAUGUUUGUGAUGCCAUAAGAUUAAUCAAAGUUUAGAAGUGCAUUCCUAUUUACAAUUAUUUGGUGCAUGAAAUGCAUGUAAAAUUGACGUGUGUUUUUUUAAACCUUUGCUGGUGAAGCUUCAGGAAUGAGUGGAAAUGACGAGAAAUUUACUGGAAGCGAUGACGAGCAGGGACUCUGUGAGUAUUUCCUUUUGUUUUCUUUUACUUUUGUAUUAGUCAGUUGGAAUAUUUGGAAAUCAUGGCAAUUUGAGGAAAUAAACAUGAUAUAUUAAUCCUAAACCUGGCGAUUUUGCAGUUUUUAGCGGUAGGAAACUCGUGUCAAAUUAUGGUACCGAUCAUUGUAAAGGAAAUGGAGGAAAAGGAGGUGGCGGAUAUGGUGGUGGUGGAUCUGGCGGUGGCCAAGGAGGUAAUCCAGGAGGUGGUGGUUGUAGUGGUGGAUGCCCAGGAAGUGGUGGUAGUGCUGGAGGUGGUGGCGGUGGUGGCAGUGGAAGAGGGGGAGGAGUUGGGGGAGGUGGUGGAGGUGGAGGAGGUGGGGGAGGUGGGGGAGGUUGGGGAGGUGGGAGAGGUGGGAGAGGUUGGGGAGGUGGUGGAGGUUGGGGAGGUGGUGGAAGCCAAGGCGGCGGUGGCAGUGGAAGAGGAGGUUGUGGAAGCCAUGGAGGAGGAGGCAUGGGAGGUGGCGGUAGUGGAAACGGAUGUGGUAAAGGAGGAAAAGGUGGCGAAGAAGGAGGAGGAGGAUAUUGAAAGAGUAAUGAGAUGCAGAAUAAAGGAGAAUGAGGUGUUGGUGCAUAUGAAACCAAAGUCCAGAGUUAGACAACAACUUAGUUCUUUCUCGAACUUAAAUGUAGCUUUCAAUGUGAUAAUUGGUUUCAUUCUCCCCCAUUCUUGUAAUAUUUUAACUUCAUAUUGAAUCAAUAUAAUAUAUAUUUAUACAAGGAAUCCAUGCUUUUCACCUAAUUUAAAACUGAACGAAAUAUGGAAGAAAAUGAAAUUUGAAAAUAGAGAAACUGAACUUGUUGGCCACAGCUUAAUAUUGAGAAAAACUUAAGUGAUUAUUUUGAAUUAAGCAUAUACAAGAACGAGACUUGUUCUAGUUUCAUUUCUCUUCAUUCUUAUGAUGUCAUAAAUUGGUGAGAUACGAUUGUGCCAGUUAUCUGUAAUUGUAGCAAUGUUUAAUGAAAUCCCUACCCUUUCAAAGUUUAACCAAAUAUAGGUUUAAAACUUUGUAAUAAAGUCUCUUGCUGCAAGCUAACAUCACUGACAACUGUUGUUACAAUAUGUCAAAUAAGAUCGAGAUAUUCAUAUGCAGUGAAUGAUUUAGAAUAGUUAGAUCAUAAUAUAAUAUGUGUAUGACUGGAUUGGUUGCGAAAGUUAAGAUUUUCAUAAAAUUAAUUUAAUUUCAUUUUAAUAAAGCAAAGUUAGUUUUAGCGUUAAAUAAAUCAAAUUUAAAAAAAAAAUUGCAAUAAUUAUUUUUUUGGUCAAUUACAUUAAUAACAUAAUCACUUAAUGUUAAAGCAAAACUAGAAGUAUGUUUUUUUCUGCGUUAAUCAAUUAAUAUGAAAGAUAAUCAAUUAAUCUAAUAAAAACUAAAACAUUGUUCUUGUUUCUAUAUUAAUUGAUUAAGUAAUUACAUAAUCACUUAAAUAAAUUACAUAAUUAAUUAAUUAGAACAAUUGUCUCAUUUUUUGAAAAAAAAUAUAUCUAUUUGAAUAAGUUUUUUUCAUAAUAUAUAAACUCAUGUCAUGAUAACUUGGAAAAGAGUGUUACAAUUGCAACAAUAUUCUUUGUUAAUCUAAAAGUAAUCAAAAUUAAGUAUUACUAAAAACUCUCUUACUUGACAUUAACAUUAAGUGAAAUUAUAAUAUCUUUACAACUUUUAGAUUUUUUUUUCUUGCAUUUUCUUUGUAAUUAUUUAUUUUGUAUUAUUUUCACUUUCUUGGGGAAAUAGGUUAAAAUAAUUUUGUAUAGUUACUUUAGUUUAUAAAUCUUAAAGGUUUUUCAAAAUUUUUGUAUAUAAGUGUAGAUAGAGAAAGAUUAUUUGACUGUGUAAUAUAUAUAUAUAUAUAUAUAUAUAUAUAUAUAUAUAUAUAUAUAUAUAUAUAAUAAAAGAUAAAACUCCUCUCCAUGUUACAUUGCGAAAAGUUGAAUAUACAUGACGAAUAACAUAUGUAUAUAGGAUAAUAGAUAAGCCUAAGAACAAUAGUUGACUUGUGAAAAGAAAAUUUGUUUAAUUAGUGUUUCCAUUACCUUGGUGACAACCUUUGAAUUUAUUGUAAUUAUAAUUGUCAUCUAAUGCAUAUCUCGUCUCGUGGUGGUCGAAAGAAUGUUCUGUCUCAAAGGAACUCACUGCAAGAACUAACCUAGUCAAUCACUCUUUACGUAAUUUUUAUUCUUAUCAUUUAUUAAAAAAUAAUAGUGUUAGAAAUUUAAUUUAUCAUUAUAUUUAAAUACAUUAUUAAUUUGUUAAAACUUUAAUUUAUAUUUAAAAUAUAACUAGAAUUGUAAUAUUUAUUAUUUAAAAUUAUUUAUUACCUGCAUAUAAAGUGUUUGAUUUGUGUCGUCCACAUUACAACUUCAUGCCCUUAUUUGAAAAUCUCUAUUUUGACUAUACGUUUAUGUAAGUCGAUAUAAAAGCCUGUUCAAAAUUUAUGUAAGAGGUGUAGUACACUUAGAAGAAAAAGAGAAGAUAAAGUUGAAUUCCCAAGUAAAAUUUUCAGAUAAAGUUAAAUUCAACAUAUCAGAAUUUUCAGAUAAAGAUAAAGUGGAGGAGUCCCCCAGAACUUGAAGCAGAACAUUUGAAACAUUAAUCAACCAAAAAUACAGCACGAAUAUCCAUUUAGUUUAAUGUUUGUAGAAAUUUUGUUAGAUAUUUUAAGCAACGAGUUUGCAGAUUCCCUUAGUCACUUGCCACUUGGCAUCUUGUGUUAGACUUGCUUACCUCAGUUUACACACUUGUCACAGUUUAACCCUUUAGUGGCUCAGUCCAUGUUGAUAAGGAUCAUUCACUCCAUUUUUUUCUGUGUCUUGAAGAGCUAUCAUUUACUUUCAGCUUCUUUUAUAUUCUUCCAUGAUCACUAUAAAUAGCUAUCAGAAACUACAUUCUUUGUAUAUAUCUCACAGUAACUCUUAACCUAGUAGCAAACAUGAAUACCAAAACCACUUUCUUCUUUUGCUUCCUCUGCACGUUGCUUCUCAUCUCUGCUAUGGCAACUCAGCCAUCUAAACAUGCUACAAUGGGUAAGUAUACUGCAUCUCUUCUUCCUCAUAUCACCAAGAACCACUCUUCUACCAAUUAAUCUGCAUCUUUCUUUCUUGUUAAUUCUAUUAAAAUUUAAAAAUAUACGUGUUGUUAUAAAUUCAUUAGGUUUAAUAUUAUUAAAGAAAAUUGCUUUGCGUUAUAUUAAUUUGGACUUUAUCUCUCUUCUCUCAAUAUAUAAAUUUAAUGAUUAAAAAUUAUACUUUGAUGAUGAAAAUAUUGAUAGUAAAAGUUACACAUUUAAGUGAAAUUAAUUUGUUAAAUAUGAAAUCACAUUUUUAACUUUCACCAUCUAAAAUCUAUAAUGAUAAGAAGCUGAAAAUAAAUAUUAUUUUUAAAAGAUGCCACUAUAAGUGUAUAAAAAAAUUCAGGUACAUCUACAAAUAAUACGUUAUAUGAAAAGAUCAAAUUUUAUUUCAAGAAGAUGCGUUAUUUGAAAGCAAUAUUGAUAGUCAAACUAUUUAUAUUUUAAAAAAAAUUAAAAGUACUUAAAUAUCAUAUAGUAUAUAACAUUUAUUUGAAAACACAUUAAAUAAAUUUUUUAUUUAUUAUAUUGAGAGUGAAAUGUUAAAAAUAUUUGAUUAAAAAAAUAAAAAGUCAUUUAAAGAAAGCUUUGAAUAUAAAUUUCGUCUUACAUCUCAGAAUUUCUAAGCAUAGCCCUUGCAUGCAAUUAUGUUGUUUAAUUUAAAGACAUAGAAUGUAAGACACUUUUCUACAUAGUCUCUCUUAGGAUGCUAUAUCAUGAAUAUUAAUUAUCUAUCGUGUUACUGUAAAUUAGUGUUACGCUUAGUAGCUAUGCUCGUAAGUAUUAUAGAAAAAGAAGAAAAAAAAAUGAAAGAACCGAUAUUAUAUAUUAAAAUAUUUAAAAAUGUUUGUAUAUGCGUGUGCAUCAAAAGAAUCCGAGACAAAAGCAGGAUUAGAUGACUGGGGAAGAGAUGGUGGAGGACCCGGAGGAGGACCCAGAGGAGGCCCCGGAGGAGGACCCGGUGGAGGCCCCGGAGGAGGACCCAGAGGAGGACCCGGAGGAGGCCCCGGUGGAGGAGGACCCAGAGGAGGCCCCGGUGGAGGACCCAGAGGAGGCCCCGGUGGAGGACCCAGAGGAGGCCCCGGUGGAGGACCCGGUGGAGGACCCAGAGGAGGCCCCGGUGGAGGACCCGGUGGAGGACCCGGAGGAGGCCCCGGUGGCGGACCCAGAGGAGGCCACGGUGGAGGCCCCGGAGGAGGCCCCGGUGGAGGACCCGGAGGAGAUUAGGGACACGGCGGAGGUUGCGGAUGUGUGGUCAAAUAGGCUGCAAAUAACACGUGUAAUCCAUGUGAUGACUACUAUGUGAAAUAAGAAAUUAGAAAUAGAAGCAUGUAAUCUAUCUGUGCUAGGGUUACCCCUCGAUCAUCAUGCAUGUACUUGAAGCACGUCUUCUCAAUAUACCACCUUUUAAAAUAAUAAUAAAAUUAAAUAAAAAAAAAAGGAGUAGGCAUCAUUUAGAAUAAAUCCUCGCCUUUUAUAGAGUAUUUUCUACUUUUUAUGA